rnacentral:lncRNA from 1 species
GAAAAGAUAGAAGUGCCCCCUGUCAGCCCUAUUUUGAACUGGUUGAAGCAGCACGCAACGUAUGGUGGCAUUAAAUGACUUUGGGAUUAAAAAAUUCAUUUUUAGAGUCACCACCUAACUUCUUAGAAAAAUUAGAAAAAAACCAUUUUUAUUGUAAAACUCUGUUUUAGUCUAUCGAAAACAUUUUGAGGUUCCAAGUAAGGGUUUUGGUUACUCGAAGGGAAGGUAUUAGGCACCCCUCAGAGCCUAUCCGAAGAUAGUCCUUACGCUUAGUUUAGGAAAAUAUUAGAAAAACUUUAUUUGUUGUUUUCUUUAUACACUGAUAAGAAACUCAUAUUAAGAAAGGAAAAAAAAAUUUGAAGUAUAAAAGAUACGCUACCAUGAUAUACAAAGAUAUAGUUUAUUAUAAAGUUGAUAUGAAAUGGGAGAGUAGAAAUCUCAUAUGCGCAUUUUAUAGGAUUCAAUGUCUUAUAAUUUUGUGAAAAAGUUUAGUAACAGAUAAGGAUAGAUAUAUCGGUGAAAUAACUUUAAUAUCAUGGCGAGAAAUUAUUUUCUUAUAAACAUAAUUAUGCAUGCUUGAAAUAAUUUGUGUUCGGGUGCGAAUAUACAUGGGUGUAUUUAUUGCGAAAUGAAAAUAUAUGAGGCAUCAAGGCACACUAAUUCUUGAUUAAGUAUAUCAACAUAUAAUGACAUUUAUUUAUUUGUUUGCGAAUUUUAAAAUAGUGGUCAAAUAAAUUUAAUAGCGAAGUAUGGAUAUAUGGUUGAAGUAAGGUGCAACCAAUAGUAAAAAUGAUGAAGAUACCAAGUACCUUGUAUAUUGUGGCGUAUAUAAAUAUACCUCACGGUUUGGUCUUUUAAAAGCUAGAAAAGGGAAAAGCUCAAGAAAAAUGUUAAAAUGUUAGGAUUACUAACCUGUUGAAAUAAAGUAGCGAAUAAAUUUUUUACCUAAAUCCGAAUUCAACAACUUGCCUUCCUAUUAGUUCAAUUCUGAAAAUGAUUUGUUAUUUUAGAAAGUCGUGGAGAUUGCUAUGCUAGUUCUAUUUAAAAUAUAGACGAUGAAUUUUAUUUUUCUAAAGAAAUUAACUAAGUACGAUGAAAGAUAUUCUCAACUAAUAUCGGUCACGUGAUUUCUGCGAAAAUUCAGAUAUUAAGACUAUAUUAAGACUGUAUAGGAACACCGACAAAAAAUAGAGUAGUACGGACUUAAUAAUCAAAUGAAUCUACCCCAUGCAAUUUAAACAAGAGUUAGUAUUGUAACUCAACAUAAAGGUAAAUUAAAACAGAAAUAACAAAGAAAUAAUGAAUGCGGUUUAGAAACUUAAGCUCCUAUUCGAGGGACUCCAACACUCUGCGAUCCUAAUUACAUUGAUCUGAUGUGGAUCAAAAAUGAGUUCCGUUGCGAAACACCAACUCCCGGGUUCACAUGUAACAGAAAAAAAGAUAAAGAAUUAGAGAGCAUAAACCGCAAGGUGUAGGAUAGAAAUAAAUUGACAAGCCAUUCAUCAAAUCUUCGAAGUCGUAGUUGAGAAUUCGAAUAUCUAGUAGCAAAGACCCCAUUAAUUUUUAAUAAAUCGAAUAUACUAAUGUGGGCGGAACUUAUUUGAACAAAUUGGGGGACGUAAACAACCAUUUCACGAGGGGGAAAUAAACGUACAAAGAUUGUGUCACUGGAGAUUCUAGUCACACCAUAUCUCAGGAUUUUGGCAUAUAUUCACUAGGAAGUUGGGAUUAAUUUUGACCAGUGACCUCAUUUUAAAGGAAAGUCUAAUGAGCUGACUAAUUACAUGAUUUAAUCUUAUACAAAUGGUUCUCUAAAUUGUUUUAUUGGUAAGUAAAGGACAAUGUUUUUACUAUAAGUUACCUUUCACAGAGAUCAAUAAAAAGGGAGCAAAGACGAGAAACUCAUGAGUAGAACCAAGCUGCUCUCUAGAUCACGUGUUUCAAAGCCUAACAUUCAGCUAUUUUGAAUGGAAAUAUAGUAAUAAACUAACAAUUCUUAGGUAAUAAGGUGUGGAUAAGUACAAAAUAAACUAACACCGCUUGCAACAAGAUACUAUUACACCAAUCAUAGACACCACACAACACUACGAAUAGAAAACUACAGACAUGAAAGACUACUCCCUUUUGUUACCAACGCAAAAAUUUCGUAAAAAUCAAUUAGCAAGAAUAAAUUCCAUUGAAAACGAAAGUUACCAAGACUAAAUUUUCCCAAGAAAUCACAUCGUUUAAAGAUGAUAAUGGUAUAAAUAAACACAAACCAAAAAAAGAUUUCAUAGAAAUCAUUCAAUAAAAUAAAUACCAUUAAAAAUGAAAGUUGCCAAAAUUAAAUCUUUCCAGGAAAUCACUCUGAAUGAAAGCUCAACUAAUGAAGUAAGAAGAUAUAUUAACCAUAGUCUAAUAGCCCCAAGCUUUAGCACCAAUUUAGCUUCUUGACACUAAUAUACAGGCUACGAUAUCAUGUUAACCACGGUAAGUGCCCUGAUUCAUUCCGCUAGCUCUAUAACUGUGCAAACCUUGAAAGGAAUUGUAUUCUAUCAUUUUAGAAUGCGCUUAAUGCAUUAUGGCCCGCACAAAAUAUAACAAAUUGAAAAUUUAACUAUCUGUUAGUAACCGCAAGAACAAAGAACAAGCAUUUAAGUUUUUUUUUUUAAAUCUCGAAAGUAAGAAGUAUUACUGACACAACUGAAAACCCACAGGCUAUUCAAAAUCGAAGCACUCUUACACAACAAAUGUAAGUUGCAUCCCCAAAUUAAAUGUCUUUCUAGUUUGAUAAAAUAUCCAAAAUGGCUAUACUUGACGGACUCCGACAAUUGGAUAAGAACAAUGCGAUACCAAAUCAUUUGAAAAACACCUCUAAACAUUGCCAUAUACUAAGAUCCAGUAAAGAAGUUGUUCAAACUAUUUCAAGUAAAUACAAUACUUGGCACGCAAGAGCAUCGCUCGAGGAUUCAUCAAAGUCUGAAUAUUUCGAGAAACUCAUGCUAGAAACUAAUCUUAUUUUUGCACUACCCCCCGACCCCCCCCACCCCGAAAUACAACACUACCAACAACAUAAUAGUAGUCCAUAAUGCCCCAAAAGAACCCGAAUGCUAUUAACAAUAACGAAAAUUAAGACCAGGAACCUAGAAAUCGUGGCUUAAACAAACAAGAAACUAUAAGAAAACAUGAAACACCAAAGCAAGGUUUACAUUCGGGUCCUUACUAUGUCGUUCCAACAAUCAAACCAACACCUUAAAAGAAAGCUAAUCCACACAGGAAAUCACAUUUAAACUAUGAAUCAAAUUCAAAUAAAUCAAAUAAGUAGCGAGCCAUCAAGAUGAGAAUAGAGAAGUAUCACCUUUUUAGGGGCAGCGAAACUGGGGCUUCGACGAUGAAGAUUUUUCCGGUGACGACUCAACGAUCGAACUCCGACUUCACCAAUAUCAGAAAGAAAUAAAAUUUUUGGAAAAACUAUUUCUUCUUCAGAAAGCUGAUCCGAACCUCUUCGAAACAUGCUUUUCUCUCAAAUUUCUUGCUUUUUUUUUUCUUUCCUCUCAGAUUUUUUCACUCUUUUUCGCUUCUCAAACUCUCUAUGUUUUUAUAUCGAAUUCUCUUGUACUUUUUUAUUUUCCACCUUGCUCUUUGGCUCUAAUUUUCGAUCUUGUUCCACUCGAUUUUCACUGAUCUUCAAUCUCUUUUUUCCUUGUUUUUCCCCUGUCCUCAACCCCUCUAUUUAUAGGUGCGAAUUCGGAUUUCAAAAUCCAUAGUCGAAACCCAUAUCUCAAUGGAAACCGUAGUGGAUAGAAAAUGAUGAAAUAGGAUUCAAACCUUUGAAAGGGAUGAAUCAUCUCUCGAUUUGGGUGAAUCACAAGCCUUUAAUGCGGAUUUGAAACCUAUUUUUUGUUGUUAUACGGAUUUGGGGAUGAUCUUCUAUCUUUAAAGGGAUUCACGGGCUGGAGGGGAUGAUUUAGUGGAGAUUCUCGCAGAUUAAGAGCAGCUAUGGCUGCAACGGAUGGCUAGGCUAUGGCAUUUUCCGGGGGUUUGGAAAGAAGAGAAAAAGGAGAAAGGGAAAAGCAGUUUGAUUUUUGCUCUGCUUUUGGAUGAAUUGAUGUUGAUGGAAGAGCCGUGUAUUUUCCUAGGAAGGUGAAGACAGCUGUUUGCCUGCACUGAUCUAUUGACUGAAAUAUAGACCGUUUGAUCGUUUGAUCGGACGGUCCGUGUUUUUGAUAUAUAUAAAUAAUAAUAAUAAUAAUAAUAAUAAAAAUAAAUAAAUAAAAGUAGGUAAUAAAUCUUAUAUAAUGAAUAAAUAUAAAGAGUUAAAAAAAUAUAUAUAACAUUUGAAAUUUGAGAUCCCUCGGGCUUCAAAAUAAAUCGACAGAUCGGGUCAAAUUAUAUUUGUUAAGUCGGAAUGAUAAAGCGGUUUCCCUCUCGACUUGGGCUGAUAUGCGGGCUCUUGGCUGAAAUUCAUAAAAUAAGAAUUGGGCUUGGGCGAAAUAAAAAUGAAAUUGGGUUAUUACUAUCUCGAAUAUUCUUUUUCUACCGAAAUUAAAUUUAUCAAUGCUUCCUGCUACCCUAAAAUUAUUUAAAACUAUUAUUAGUUUAACGUAUAUAAAUUGCAGACAUAAUUUGUAUAGACAUCCGCGACUUUCCUAUUAAUAAAAUACGUGUAUAUAUAUAUAUAUAUGUAUAUAUAUGUGUGUAUGAAAAAUAAGAAUAUAAUAAAAUACAUAAAAAUAAGAAUAUAAUGAAAUAUAUGUACAUUUUAUAAAAAUAUAUUUUGUGUGAUAAAAAUAUACCUAUAAAGUCACAAUACUGCCCCAAAAAUAAAGUUAGAAAGAAUGCGAUUGCGACCACCAAAAGAUAUAUAUUUUGUGAUUGUGAUGUCAAAUGCUUAAUUAUUAAAAUAACUUUAUAAAUAAAAAUAAAUUCCCCUCUUAUUCUUGUAGAAAUAGAAACAAAAAUACCAAAUCAUAUUAUUAUUUAAUUUUGAAAAUUAUUUAGGGCCAAGAAGCAUCGAAAAAAUAAUUAAAGAAAAAAGGGCGAGUCAAAAUUGGGUGUCAACACCCCCAAGGUAAGGCUUCUAGAAUGAAGUCAAACCUCAUAGAUAUAAUAAAAGUGAAAAGAAUAAAAUCAACACAUGCAACCAUAACUCCCAUAACCUGGUGUCAACAGUAUAAGAACUACUUAUAUAAUCUCGGAGUCAAACAUAUCAGAAAAAUAACCACAAAUAAAAAUAUCUAUCUCCAAACACUAAUAAAGAUAUAACUAAUAUAGAAAGAUAGAGGUGAACUCCAGACAUAUGAAUAUCCAACCGCUACCUUGAGAAAUCUGAAGGUACCCAAAAUCAAUCAGUUUGAGGCACACCCAAAUCAAAAACUGCACCAAAGGGGUAAAGUAGGGGUGAGUACGAUCUACUUGUACUAAGUAGUAUUAUAGGCCGACUGAGCAAAGUAGAAAAUAAAGCAUACAAAAUACUCACUAAGGGCACGUCACCUACAAUAAGAAAAUAUCCCACAAUGGUUGCCCACACAGCUUGCACUAAUAGUUCUAAUAUAUCACCUAUAUUACAAAAUCACACCAAGAUAGAGAACAAGUAUGCAUUAUGUCAUAUAUAAGUAGAACAAGGGAGAACAUGUAGAUACAAGAUCAUCAAAUAUAAGUAAAGGAAGGUAAGACAAAUACAUAGAUGACAAGUCAAUAUGAUAAUACAACACAAUAUAAACACAAUAAAGUAAGUGCAAUGUAUAUGAUGAUAAUGAUGAUGAUGUACGAGGUCAUCGUACAGCCUCUGGGAUUGUCGCACAACCCCAAUAUACAUCUAUGGAGCUAAAACUUCCUAAUGUAGGACCCAUGAGGGGUGCUCCAACUUGUAUACGAUCCACAUAUCUCAUAUCUACUUUCUAGUACAUCUUUCGAAAAGAGUUUUAUAAGGUGUUAUAAUAUCUCCUCCCCGACCCUUUACUUGAGGAGGGUUUUAUAAAAGGUGUUGCCUUUGUUUCUCAAAUGUUGCCACGGUGGUUCCAAUGUUUCAUGAAUAAGUAUGAUAUGAGAAUGUAAUGAUCACAACCAAUCACAAUGAGUAUUUUCACAAUCAAUCACAGUGAUAUAUUUCCACAACAAACCACAAUUAUACAUUUUCACAACCACGUGAGCCAAUAUCCACUUAUUAUUUUUGUUUUAUCCAUGAAUUUCCACAUGUCUCAUAUAACAAGUAUGAAUAUAUAACAAUACACCAAUGGUACCACAUCAGGCAUUUCAACAACACAAUACAAUUAUUCACAUAUAUUCAAGGCUAUAAACAUAACAUAGGACCCCAUACGGUCACACAUAUCACAUAAUAUCUCAAUUUCAAAAAUUACAUUACAUACAGGUCCCCACAUGGGCAAAACAUACAGAUAGCCAUUUUUCAUGAUCAUUUCUCCCUUAAUAUACAUUUUGUACCAUCAUUUACUAUUCAGACCAGUCUGAAAGAGUUAAGCCAUAACCUACCUCGAAUGCCGAAAUGGGUUCGUUACACUUUAAACCCCAUGACCUUACUUUUUACGAAUGAUCUCAAAUAUCACUAAAAAUAUCAAAUAUAGAAUCUAGGCAUCAAAAUAAAACCAACGACACCCAUAUUGACUAUUUUUGGUUUGGGACAAAAACGGACCCCCCAAAUGAGAUUUCAAAAAAAGAAGGAAAAAAUGUAAAUUUACUUCAAAAACAUGUUUCUCAUAUUUUUAGGAACCUACAGCUGAAAAUUCUAGUCAAAUCGAGUAAAACAUGAGGUUCAAAUCGAAGAAAAAUUAUUUUUGAGCUUUUACGGGUAAAAUCUUUAAAAUUCAGGUUAAAAUCAAGAAUCAGAGUUUUGGAGGUUAAAUUGAUGAAAAACUAAUAAUUUUAUGAUUAAAAUAUUUUUAAGUGAAAAGGAGUAAAAUUGAGGUUUAAAAUCAAGUCCUAAGAUUUUUGGAGUUUUGAGAAAUUAAUCAAGAAAUUACUAAGAAAAUGAUGAAUUCUUACCUUAAAUCCAUGAUAGAAUCAAGAAAUAGAUCUUAAUCUAGCUUUUCAAGAUCCCACAAGUUUCACUUUUAAGCUCCCACACUAUCUUAGAGUUUAACUCCCAGAAGGCAAGAUGAAAAAAUAGACAAAAUGGACCAAAAAAGGGUAAAAAGCUGAUUUUUAUAGCAGAUUUGCACCAGAUUUUUCCUUUUAAAGUUUCACCUGGACUUCGACGGGGUGCCCGUUAUUCAUUCGGAGUCCGAUAUAUGCAAGUGAACUAUGAAAUCACACUAAAUUUUAUGUUUCGGGCGUCUUGGCGAAGUUGGAUUUUCUAAAAAAUAUCAUUUUCUCAAAGUUGACCACCAAAACUUGAAAUCACAACUUUCCAAACCGAGGGUCGAAAUGAGAUUUAAAAGCCAUAAAAUCACACCAAAAUAUUAUCAUCCUAAAAUCGACAUUUUGAAUCCGCUGAAAAAGUCAAAUUUUCUGUCCGAGGUCAUCUCAAUCAAAUAUGGGUCCUACACUCAUAUUUUUAAUUUUUCAACUUUUCGACUAAUAGAUCGAAAUGAGCUCGGGUGUAUCAGGACCCGAACCAAAGGUCUACCUAACCUAAAAUUGAUAUUUCAGAGCUACUGGCAUAUUCUGUUCAGCCAUCCAUCGCACGGAUCAAAAAAUAUCCAUAUAAGUUCAAAGUAAGGCUCUCAAAGCCUAUAAAAACCACAAUAUCACAUAAAUAGUACCAAAAUGCAUCGGGGACAAUGUUAAUCACCCACACCCCAGAAAUACCAUAAUGCAACUACGAGGAGGGGGUAAAAUAGUCAAAUUACACAAAAACACAUAAUUUACAUAUUUCAUCAAAAAAAGUUGGUUGUUACAUCAUCCACCACUAAAAGUCUAGUUUGUCUUUGAACUAAGGCAAAGAAAUACUUGAAUUAACGAAGAGCUGGGGAUAAGAACUAUGCAUAUCAGACUCGACCUCCAAUGUAGCCUCAUCUAUAGGUUGAUGUCGCCACUGGACCUUAACCACAUCAGUCUAGAGCGCAACUAUCUAACAUCCCUAGCCUAUAUGGAGAGCGAUUUCUCAACAAAAGACAAUCACUCAUCUAACUAAACUAACUCCCAACGAAUAACAUGAGACUCAUUUAGAAUGUAACGGCUAAGUAUAGAAACAUGAAAAACUAGAUGAACAGCUGAUAGAUCAGGUGGUUACGCCAACUCAUAAGCCACAUCACCAACAGUCCAAUGAAUCUCUAAUGGACCAAUAUACCUGGGGCUAAGAUUGCCCCUCUUCCCAAUCCUCAUCACACCCUUCAUGGGUGAAACUCAAAGAAAAACACGACCACCAACACCAAAUCUCAAGGAAUGAAGUCUACGAUUAAUAUAGUACUUCUGUCUACUCUGAGCCGCUCUAAGUCUAUCCUGAAUGACCCAGACUCUAUCCAAAGACUCAUUAAGCAAGUUCGUAACUCAAGGUCUCACCUCUGAAAUGUCAAAACAACCCACUAGGGAGCGACAAUACCUACCAUACAACAUAUCAAAAGGAUCCAUAUCGAUACUGGAAUGGUAGCUGUUGUUAUAUUCAAACUCAGCUAAAGCCAAAUACUGCUCCCACUGGCCACCAGAAUUAUAAAGCAUGCGCGGAGUAUAUCCUCCAAAACUUGGAUAGUCCUCUCUAACUAGCCAUCAGUCAAGGGUUAAACAUUACGAUAAGAUCAACUUGAGUACCCAAAUUAUCCUGAAAAGUCUUCCAAAAGUUAGAUGUGAACACAAAACCUUAAUUUGAAAUAAUAAACACCAGCACACCAUACAGACGCACAAUCUCAUGAAUGUAUAUAUGGUCCAACCUUUCAGCACUGAAGAAAACCUGACAGGAAUGAAAUGAGUUAACUUAGUCAAUCGAUCCACGAUAACCCACACACUGUCAAAACCAUGAGAAGUAUGAGGCAAUCCAGUACCGAAAUCUAUAGUGAUCUACUCUUACUUUCACUUGGAAAUAGGUAAUAUCUGAAGCAAACCAUCGGGUUUCAUAUGCUUGGCCUUCACAUACUGAAAACAUAGAUAACAAGCCAUAAAAUUUGAUAUAUCUCGCCUAAUACUACCCUACCAGUUGUGUUGUCUCAAAUCAUGAUAUAUCUUAGUCACACCUGGAUGGAUUAAAUAUCUGGAAUAAUGGGUUUCCUCCAAGAUAAAGCUAAUACAGUCACCCAAUCUGGGCACACAAACUCGACCUCCAAUCUACAAAACUCCAUCUGAAUCAAGUGAGGCUUUCUUAGCCUCCCCACUCAACACCUUAUCUCGAAUUAGCCUAAAUCUAACAUCAUCAAAAUAAUGAGCUCAAAUCUACUCCAUAAAAAAUGAUCUAGACUUCACAAAUUCCAAAACACGCCUAGGUUUCAAAAUAUAAAGACUAACCAUCUGGUUAGCUAAAGACUAAACCUCUAAGGUUAAAGGCCUCUCUUGGGUCAAAAGAUGCGCUAAGCUAACCAUGAUAGUAGACUUUUGGAUCAAGGAAUCCGCAGUCACAUUGGCCUUGCCCAAAUGGUAGAAAAUGGUCAAGUCAUAAUCCUUAAUCAACUCAAGUCAACGGCACUGCCUCAUAUUAAAUCUUGCUGGGUGAAUAAGUAUUGAAGGCUAUUAUGAUCUGAGAAGAUCUCACAACUGACUCCAUAUAAGUAGUGUCUCCACAACUUCAAGAAAAACACCAGAUCAUAGGUAGGAUAACUCCUUUCAUGAUGCUUCAAUAGACGUGAUGCAUAAGCAAUCACCUUGCCCUCCUACAUUAACACAACACCUAACCACCUAAAGUAUCAUAAAAGGUGAUAAAACACACGCCCUCCCUGGAAAAAGUCAAGAUAAGAUCUAAAGUCAACAAAUCCUUAAGCUUUUGAAGGCUCUCCUCACAAACAUUAGACUACUAAAAAAAAUCUUCUUCUUGGUCAACUUGGUCAAUAUAGCUGGAAUAGAGGAGAAACCCUCAAUAAAACACUGAUAAUAUCCCUCUAAGCCAAUAAAACUCCAAAUAUUAGUGGGCGAAUGAAACAUCCUAGGAUUUGGACCCUUGAAAAUUUCCAAAGUUUGGACCCUUUUUCACUUGGUACGACUCAAGGGAGUCACUCGUGGCCUUGGUUACGAGUCGUAGGGUACCUAGGUGGUCCAAUCAUACCUUAGGUCAUAAGGAUGGCUUAGCUACUGCCUAAGUUAUGAAUCAUAUGGAUAAGAUUCAUAUGGGAGCUUACGAGUGGUAUAGGACAAGUCGUAUAGUGCAUGUUUGAGUUGUCUAGUGUAAUUUGUCCAUCAUACAGUUGGUAGAUAUGAUUGAGGUUACCACUCAUACCCUUAAAUAUGAGUUAGAGAGGGUAAUUAAUAUAGAAACCAGUAGGUAAGGUAUUGGGAAGGUUGGGUACGAGUUGGGAUACCACUUGUACCCUUCGAUACGAGUGGUAAGGGGGAAGUCGUAACCCUAGACGUGAAUUAUUUUAAUUUAUAAGCCAAGGGUAGUUUGGAUAUUUCCUACUCCUAAACCCCCUUUUCCUCACGUUAUAUAACCUUAUAUGGCCUUCCAUAACACAUAUAAAAGGAUCAUAACACUUUAAGUAUCCACUAAAAUACUCUCUUGGAAGAUUGGAGGCUAGGUUUUCUCAUGUGUUCUUCAAAGGGGAUCAAGAGUCACGUUUCUCUUCAGAAUCUUCUUUUAUAAGGCAUGUACUCCUUACCUCAUUGUUAUUUCAAUAUAAAGGCAUGUGUAUUUUAUUUUAAAUAUUGGUUUAUGAGUCAUGAAUGGUGGAUUUUGAAAUAUUAUUGACAGUCUUUAUGCAUAUGAUUUGGUAUUGGUUUACACUAUAUUCUUACAUAUUUUUGAUAAUGGUUUGCAUAUAUGGUUGGUUGUUGGUUAUGGUUUACCUAAAGGGGUAUUGAUUAACCCUAAUUAUGGUGAUUUACAUGUUGGUUUUGGUAUUGGUAAAGUUUUGCCCUCAACAUGUUCGAUAAAAUACCUCAAAGAAUGUUUUUACUCUAUUGUUGACGUUUUAUUGGAACUCUUGCAUUAUUUGGUUUGACAAUGGAACCUUAAUGAGAUUUGGAUUAUUUAUACAUUUUUAAAAUAGUUUAAAUGAUAUAAAUGAUUAAAAUGUUUGGCAUGGUCUUAAAUGGUUUGGAAUGGUUUAAACAUUAAGGUUUUGGUGGUCAUGGUUGGUCUAUUUUGAAAACCUUGAGGGAUACAUGGAAAUACCUUAAGUGAAUGCAUUAAUGGAAUUGGUUUAAAUGGUUUACAAAGGUUAAAGGCUAAUUGGUAAUGCUUGUGUAGGACAUGGUUGUCUCCAAAAAGGUUAAUAUGGUAAACAGAAAGGGCACUUGAGAGUCCCUUUAACCUAAAUAGUUUGGCUAUGGAUAAAUCUUGCAAGUAUGGUUGGUAUGAUGAUACCACUAAUAAUUGGCCUUGGUAAUAAAUGGUAAUUGGAUUGUUUGGACAUGAUUUUGAAUCUGGGAAUUAAUGGCGAGAUGUGUAACUAAGUCAUGAAAGGUGAAGUUUUGGGGGGACCGAAACUGGAAACUCAUAUUUGCUGAUAUGAGGGGUCUUCAAUGACCACAUACGAGUGUCAUAUUUUAUAUUGGAGGGAUGUACUAUUCAUCCCAUGGGAUAUUUCCUGGUCGUGCAGCUACACGCACUGGGACCCUUUUAGCAGGGGAAGCUGAACCCAUAAGGCUCAUGGGUGUGGUUAAACGGCAAGGUUACAUACCCUCGGUAAAGGUUUUAAUACAUGGUAAACUCGGUUCCCUUUCUCGGCACACAUAUCUAUGUAUAGUUGUAUGCAUACGAAUGGUUUUACUUAGUUUUAUAAAUGACAUUAUUUUAUCCCUACAUAGAGUGUAUACUAGUGUUUACCCACUAACCCAUCUACUGGCAGUUGUAUACCCACGCUAUGUAAGAGCUAGCCAUUCUACUCCUCUUGCUUAGUGAUCGGAUUCGGGUACAGUUGAUGUUGGAUUGAAGUGGUGAGCUUCCAUAGUCUGAAGGCAUCUAUUUCAUGUUGUGGUUUACUUUACAUAUUUCUUGUCCUCCAUAAACUUUGGUUUUUGUCUAUGGUCGGGGGCAUGUCCAGACUAGGUACUCUUUGGUUGGUCUAGAGGCUUUGUAUGGACAACUGUGGACUUGGGUAUGGUAUGGAUGGUUUAUGUUAUUUAUACAUACAUUGGCUUAUUAUAAAUACUUUUGGUCUAUGGUUUCCACAUUAGUUUGGUUGGUCAUUAGGUGGACAGACUUGGUUGGGUUGGUCUCGAUUAUAAACUUAUCCCAGAAUAACCACAUGGAUAAAUGCACUAUCUUGUUAUAUGUUUGGAAUUCAGCCGACUCAAGGUAUGAUUUUGGUGGUUGGGUUGGGUAACGGGGGCGGUUCCCGAUCUAUGUUGGUCUUGGGAUUGGCUAUUACGUCUAGGCCCUAGUUCGGGCUGUGACAGCAAAGUAGGUCUGGCCCAAUAAUGAACCGCUGCAACCUUGGCUGGAUCAACCAUAAUACCCUAGAUCAACCAUAAUACCUUCCUUAGUCACAACAUAACCUAAGAAAGAAAUAGACUCCAACCAAAACUCGCAUGUAGAGAACUUAGCAUAUAACUUCUCAUCCCUCAAUCUUUGAAGCACAUUUCGCAAAUGCUCUUCAUGCUCAACCUCACUCUUAGAAUAAACCAAGAUAUCAUAUAUAAAUACAAUAAAAAAGAAGUCAAGAUAUGGUCGAGAUACCCGGUUCAUUAGCUCCAUGAACGCGAUAGGGGCAUUAGUUAACUAGAAGGAUAUGACCAAGAACUCAUGAUGACCAUAUCGAGUCUGAAAGACUGUCUUUGGAAAAUCCAAAGCUCUAAUCCCCAACUAGUGAUAACCAGACCUCAAAUCAAUCUUUCAAAAAACUGCAACACCCUAAAGCUGAUCAAACAAAUCAUCAAUACGAGGAAGAGGAUACUUAUUCUUAACCAUCACCUUAUUCAACUGUUGAUAAUCAAUACACAUCCGCAUAGACCCAUAUUUUUUCUUCAAAAAUAAGAGAGAUGCACCCAAGGUGAAACACUAGGUCAGAUAGAUCCCUUAUUCAACAACUCCUACAACUGAUCCUUCAGUUCCUUCAAUUCUAUUGGGGCUAUCCUAUAAGGAGGAAUAGAAAUAGGUUUGGUGCCCAGUUUAACAUUAAUAGCAAAAUCAAUAUCUCGAUACGGAGGCAUACCAAGCAAGUCCAUAGAGAACACAUACAUAAACUCAUAGACAACAUGGACAAAAUUCAAGAAAGGAGUCAAAACAACACUAGUGUCAGUAAUAUGAGUCAAGUAAGAUAAACAUCCUUUUUCGACCAAUUUACGAGCCAAAACAUAAGAUAUAAUCCUUUUAGGACCCGAAUGAAGUGCACCCUUCCAACCUAUCCUUGACACACUCAGCGAGGCUAAAGUCACAGUCUUAGCAAAACAGUCAAAGAUAUCAUGAUAAGGAGCCAACCAAUCUACACCUAAAAUAACAUCAAAAUAUACCAUAUCUAACACAAGUAAGUCUACCAAAGUCUUACGCCCCAAAAAAGUCAUAAGACAAGAUUAGUGCACCUGAUCCACUACUGAAGAAUCACUUAUCGGGGCAGAUACACGAAUAGGUAUGGCAAGAGGCUCACUAACAGAACCAAAAUUGAAGCAAAAUACACAGACAGUUAGAAGAAAGUCGAUUCGAGAUCAAAUAAUACAGAUGCAGUCUGAAACAAAUAAGGACGAUACAUGUAAUCACAACAUCAGAAGCCUCUGCCUUAUGUCUGGUUGGUAUAUCAUAUCACUGACCACGACCCUUAACUGGCUGAGUAUCCCUAUGACCACCAUCGCAGGCUCCACCACCUCUACCUCUCAUCCUCUAGUAGUACCCCUACCUAUCAUAGCUAAAAUAGGAGUAGCCCAAAUCACCCAGUGGGGAUAGUCCCUGGCCACAUGGCCCAUCUCAUCAUACACAAAGAAAUCUCAAUAACCAACCUCAACAGAAGAAAGUAAAACUGGGUCCAAAUGAUCAUCCUGAACUGCUGAACUAAAACAUCCACCACAUGAACUCUGUAAAGCUACCUACACUGGCCUACUAUGGUAUUCAUAAAAAUCUCUAAAAUUUCUGCCUUGAUAGGUCUGACUCCUGAACUCAUCAAAACGUCACGCAUUCUUAGCGUCUCCCUAAGAUGCAUAAAGAAUACCCUCUAUCAUCUUAGCAUGAUCCAUAAUAUUCUAAAAAAAGCCCCAACACAACUAUUUGAGACGUAGACAACUGAAGGGAGACAUCUAAAUCCUUCAUAAACUUUUGAAUCUUCUUAGAUUCGAUGGAAAUACUGGCAUAGAAAUAUCUGGACAAGGCAUUAAAAUGUGCCUCAUAUUCUACAACGGUCAUAAAGUUCUUCUCCAGAUGAACAAACUCGCAUUAGUUAACUAGAAGGAUAUGACCAAGAACUCAUGAUGACCAUAUCGAGUCUGAAAGACUGUCUUUGGAAAAUCCAAAGCUCUAAUCCCCAACUAGUGAUAACCAGACCUCAAAUCAAUCUUUCAAAAAACUGCAACACCCUAAAGCUGAUCAAACAAAUCAUCAAUACGAGGAAGAGGAUACUUAUUCUUAACCAUCACCUUAUUCAACUGUUGAUAAUCAAUACACAUCCGCAUAGACCCAUAUUUUUUCUUCAAAAAUAAGAGAGAUGCACCCAAGGUGAAACACUAGGUCAGAUAGAUCCCUUAUUCAACAACUCCUACAACUGAUCCUUCAGUUCCUUCAAUUCUAUUGGGGCUAUCCUAUAAGGAGGAAUAGAAAUAGGUUUGGUGCCCAGUUUAACAUUAAUAGCAAAAUCAAUAUCUCGAUACGGAGGCAUACCAAGCAAGUCCAUAGAGAACACAUACAUAAACUCAUAGACAACAUGGACAAAAUUCAAGAAAGGAGUCAAAACAACACUAGUGUCAGUAAUAUGAGUCAAGUAAGAUAAACAUCCUUUUUCGACCAAUUUACGAGCCAAAACAUAAGAUAUAAUCCUUUUAGGACCCGAAUGAAGUGCACCCUUCCAACCUAUCCUUGACACACUCAGCGAGGCUAAAGUCACAGUCUUAGCAAAACAGUCAAAGAUAUCAUGAUAAGGAGCCAACCAAUCUACACCUAAAAUAACAUCAAAAUAUACCAUAUCUAACACAAGUAAGUCUACCAAAGUCUUACGCCCCAAAAAAGUCAUAAGACAAGAUUAGUGCACCUGAUCCACUACUGAAGAAUCACUUAUCGGGGCAGAUACACGAAUAGGUAUGGCAAGAGGCUCACUAACAGAACCAAAAUUGAAGCAAAAUACACAGACAGUUAGAAGAAAGUCGAUUCGAGAUCAAAUAAUACAGAUGCAGUCUGAAACAAAUAAGGACGAUACAUGUAAUCACAACAUCAGAAGCCUCUGCCUUAUGUCUGGUUGGUAUAUCAUAUCACUGACCACGACCCUUAACUGGCUGAGUAUCCCUAUGACCACCAUCGCAGGCUCCACCACCUCUACCUCUCAUCCUCUAGUAGUACCCCUACCUAUCAUAGCUAAAAUAGGAGUAGCCCAAAUCACCCAGUGGGGAUAGUCCCUGGCCACAUGGCCCAUCUCAUCAUACACAAAGAAAUCUCAAUAACCAACCUCAACAGAAGAAAGUAAAACUGGGUCCAAAUGAUCAUCCUGAACUGCUGAACUAAAACAUCCACCACAUGAACUCUGUAAAGCUACCUACACUGGCCUACUAUGGUAUUCAUAAAAAUCUCUAAAAUUUCUGCCUUGAUAGGUCUGACUCCUGAACUCAUCAAAACGUCACGCAUUCUUAGCGUCUCCCUAAGAUGCAUAAAGAAUACCCUCUAUCAUCUUAGCAUGAUCCAUAAUAUUCUAAAAAAAGCCCCAACACAACUAUUUGAGACGUAGACAACUGAAGGGAGACAUCUAAAUCCUUCAUAAACUUUUGAAUCUUCUUAGAUUCGAUGGAAAUACUGGCAUAGAAAUAUCUGGACAAGGCAUUAAAAUGUGCCUCAUAUUCUACAACGGUCAUAAAGUUCUUCUCCAGAUGAACAAACUCAUCAUGCAUCCGAUCCCUCAAAUUGUAAGGCAUAAAUCUCUCUAGAAAGGAAUUAGCAAAUUGAUCCCAUGACAACUCAGGAGCAUCAACAGGCUUACAAUCAAUAAUCGAUCUCCACCAAUCUUUCACAGUAUCUCCAAACUGAUAGGCUGUAUAAGAAACAACAUCCACAUAGAAAGAGUGGAACACAACUCAGAACAUAAGGCAUGAAAGAACUCCACACAAUAAAGAAUAAAUUGAGAGAAGUUUCUUAAAAAUGUCCUAUAGCCUCUCGAAGUUAGAUAUGGACGUUUAUAUACCGAUUCGUGAGACUCUAUUAGACAUCCCAUUCUUACAUUAUUGAGACCAAUGAACUUAACUGCCCUGAUACCAAUUUGUCCUGACCUAAAAAUUGAUAGAUCAUGAAGGCACUUAUCGCGAUGAACAUUGAAAAGUAAGCCUCUCACCCAAACUAAUAUACACGAGAAAAAGAUAGAAAUUCCCCUAAGGUAAGGCUUCUAGAACAAAGUAGAACCACAUAGAUAUAAUAAAAGCAUCAAAAAUAAAAUCAACACAUGUAACCAUAACUCCCAAAACCUGGUGUCAACAGUAAGAACUGGUAAUAUAAUCCCUGAGUCAAACACAUCAGAAAAAUAACCACAAAGAAAAAUAUCUAUCUCCAAAUAUUAAUAAAUACAUAACUAAUAUAGAAAGAUAAAGUUGAACUUUGAAUGUAUGAAUGCAAAACCGCUACCUUGAGAAUCUGAAGUCGCCUAAAAUCAAUCAGUCUGAGGCACACCUGAACCUAAAGCUGCACUAAAGGGUGAAGUAGGAGUGAGUACGGUCCACUUGUACUUAAUAGGUAUCAUAGGCUGAUUGAGAAAAGUAGAAAAUAAAGCAUGCAAAAUACACACUAAGGGUACAUUACCUACAAUGAAAAAAUAUCCAUAAUAGUUGCCCACAUUGCUUGCACUAACAGUUUUAAUAUAUCACAUAUAUUACAAAAGCACAACAAGAUAGAGAACAAGUAUGCAUUAUGUCACAUAUAAGUAAAACAAGGGAGAACAUGUAGAUACAAGAUCAUAAAAUACUAGUGAAGGAAGGUAAGACAAAUACAUAAAUGACAAGUCAAUAUGGUAAUAUAAUACAACAUAAACACAAUAAAGUAAGUGCAAUGUAUGUGAUGAUGAUGAUAAUGAUGAUGCACGAGGUCAUCGCACAACCUUCGAAAUCAUCGCACAAUCCCUCUAUACACCUACGGAGCUAAAGCUUUUCGACAUAGGACCCAUGGGGGUUCGUCAACCCGAAUACAAUCUACAAUCUCAUAUCUCCUCUCCGGCAUAUUCCUCAGAAAGGAUUUUAUAAGGUUUUGUAAUAUCUCCUUCCCAAUACUUCCCUUGAGGAGGGUUUUUAUAAAAUGUGUUGCCAGUGUUUCUCAAAUGUUGUCACGGUAGUACCAAUUUUUUAUGAAUGAGUAUGAUAUGAGGAUGUAAUGCUCACAACCAAUCACAAUGAAUAUUUUCACAAUCAAUCACAAUGAUAUAUUUCCACAACCAACUACAAUUAUACAUUUCCAUAAUCAUGUGAGCAAAUAUCCACUCAUUAUUUCUGUUUCAUCCAUGAAUUUCCACAUGUCUCAUAUAACAAAAAGUAUAAAUAUAUAACAAUACACCAAUGGUACCACAUUAGGUAUUUCAACAACAUAAUACAAUUAUUCAUAUAUAUUCGAGGCUAUAAACAUCACAUAGGGACUCCACACAGUCACACAUAUCAUAUAGUAUCUCAAUUUCAACAAUUACAUUACAUACAGGCCCCCUCACGGGUAAAAUGCAUAGAUAUAUAUUUUUCAUGAUUAGUUCCCACCUUUAACAUGUAUUUUGUACCAUCAUUUACUAUCCAGACCAAUUUAAAAAAGUUAAACCAUAACCUACCUUGAAUGCUGAGAUCGGUUUGCUACACUUUGAACUCAAGACAUUACUUUCCAAGAACAAUCUCAAACAUUACCAAAAAUAUCAAAUAUAGAAUCUACGUAUAAAAAAAACAACGACACUUAUAUUGACUACUUCUGAUUUUGGACCAAAAUGGACCCCCAAAAUGAGUUUUUAAAAAAGAAGGAAAAAAUUAUAAUUUUUCUUUAAAAAUAUGUUUUCCAUAUUUUUAUAAACCUACAGCUGAAAAACCAAGUCAAAUCGUGUAAAAAAUGAGGGUCAAAUCGAAUAAAAACUAUUUUUGAGCUUUUCUGGGUAAAACAUUUGAAAUUUGGGUUAAAAUCAAGAAUCAAAAUUUUUUUGGAGGUUAAAUUGAUGAAAAACUAGUAAUUAUAAGAUUAAAAUAUUAUUUAAGUGAAAAUAAGUGAAAUUGGGGUUUAAAAUCAAGCCCUAAAAUUUUUGAAGUUUUGAGAAAUUAAUCAAGAAAUUACUAAGAAAAGGAUGAAUUCCUACCUUAAAUCCGUAAUAGAAUCAAGAAAUAGAUGUUAAUAAAGCCUUCCAAGCUCCCACAAGCUUCACUUUUAAGCUCCCACACUAUCUUAGAGUUUAACUCUCAAGAGGCAAGGUGAAAGAAAGGACAAAAUGGACCAAUAAUAGGAUAAAAAGCUGAUUUUAAUAGCAUAUUUGCACCAGAUUUUUCCUUUCAAAGUCCCACCCGAAUUUCAACGGGGUGUCCAAGAUUCGUUGGGAUUUCGAUAUAUGCAAACGAACUAUGCAAUCACACUAAAUUUGAUGUUCCGGACGUGUUGGCAAAUUUAUAUUUUUUUAAAAAAUAUCGUUUUCACAAAGUUGACCACAAAAAUUCAAAAUCGCAAUUUUCCAAACUGAGGGCCAAAAUAAGAUUUAAAAGCUAUAAAAUCACACCAAAUAUGUUACCACCCUAAAAUUAAUAUUUUAAAUCUGCUGACAAAUUUGAAUUUUCCAUCCGAGGUCGUUUUACCCAAAUGUGGGUUCCACACUUAUAUUUUCAAUUUUUAACUUUUCGAUCAAUAGGUCAAAAUGAGCUCACAUGCACAGGACCUGAACCAAAGGUCUACCUAGCCUAAAAUUGAUAUUUUGGAUCUGUUGGCGUAGUUCGUUUAGCCAUCCAUCACACGGAUCAAAAGAUAUCUACAUAAGUCCAAAAUAAGGAUUUUAAAGCCUAUAAAAACUACAAUAUCACAUAAAUGACACCAAAAUGCAUCAGAAAUAAUGUCAAUCACCCCCACACCCCGCAAAUACUAUAAUGAAACUAUGGAGAGGGAUAAAAUAGUCAAAUUACAUAAAAAACACACAAUUUACAUAUUUCAUAAAAAAAAGCUAGUCGUUACACUAGAGGAGUCAGGAAACGGUAGAUUUGGAGCAGUAAAGAUAAAAUCGUCAGGUAUAAGACAGGGAGAAUAACCAAAUAUGGAAGUAGUGGGAAAAGAUGAAGGAAGAGAAUAAAUAAAAACAAACUCGUGAAAAAUAACAUAUCUGGAGAUGAGAAUAGAUUUGGAUUUAAAAUUGUAGAGUUUAUAUCCCUUUUGGUCAAAUGGAUACCUUACAAAAACACAAAGGACAACCCUUGGCUGAAAUUUAUCUCUUUGACAUUUAGGCACUGAUACAUAACACAAACAACGAAAGGUCUUCAAGUGGUCAUAAUAAGGGGCUUUUGAUACGAGUAUGACUACGAGGACGGACGAGAAUGAGUGUGUAUUGAAUCCAUCCAAGGAAGUACACAAGUGAAGUGUAAAAGAGGGCCUAAAUGCACUAAAAACACCCCCUAAGUUACACUUGAUGGGCACCUCACCCUUGAGGGGUACUGUAGUUAUUUUGUAUUCUAUUUUAUAAUACACUAUAUAUAGAACCUCUUAAGGUUGUUAGUCUGAGAUGUUUAUUGAUAUUGAAAGUUGUAACACUUGAAGAAUAUUUCUCUGUUGUGAGAAAGGCCUCUUGGCCAAAAAAUAUUGUAAUUAGUAUUUCCAACUUGAGUGUGAAAUCAUUCGUGUUGGAUUCAUGCUUGGAACGUUGGGUGCUAGAGGAGGUUGAGGUCUCUCUUGUGCUCACCAAAGAUAUAGGUAUUUGUAGUGUGUAGUGUUAAGGGUCCAAGAGUGGAAUAGGCUUUUGGGUUCUUAUAAUUAUACCUUCACUUUGUCUAUCUAUCUAUCUAUCUUUACAUUUUUUGUACUCUUUGUUGUUGUUCUAGUCAAAACCCUGUGUUGUUAUUUUCGUUGUGUUAUUGUUCAUCUUGUUCUUCAUAUUGUUAUCUUGAUACUCUCUUUGUUAGUUUGUGGUGGCUAUUUUGGUGUUAAAUACACCAUUGUUAUCUUAUAUUGUUGUUGUCGUAGUGAAUCCGAGAGUGGUCUCCAAAAAGGUCCUCGGAUCCUUAAGAUUAAUGGACUGAUUUGGAGUGUGUUUCGUGUAUUCCAAGUUUUUAUCGUAUCAUUUGGUAUCAGAUCCAUAUUUGGUGUUGUUCUUACAAUACCAAUCUUAGGCUUUCUUGCUAAGAAAAUAAAACAAAAGAAAGAAGAAAGAUGUGUUCUUGAGCUUGAGAUCUUGGCCGAGAAGUUGAACUUGUUGUUGUUGUAUCUUGGACGAAUGUUGUGUGUCUAGGUCUAGGAUUUAUUUUUCUUGUGUUGUUUCAAGUGUUAGUAUUCUUGUCCAUUAACACUUUGUGUCGAUCUAGAUUUGAGCUUUAAAAAAAUUGAUGUUAUUGCUGUGAAUAAGGCCAUGGCCGUGUGUUGAAGUUAUUGUUCUUGGAUGAGUGGACUUGUUGUUAUAGUCUUGGUUGGACGUUGUUGGUGUUGAUCUUGAUAAAGUUUUUGUUGAGUUUUUUACUUUCAUCACAACCUUCACCCUUGCUAAACCUGAAAUACAACACCAAAAAUAACCUUGGUCAUGUGUUGACACUAAAAUUAGCCGUGAUGUGUGUUGAUAUUGCCCGUGGGGUAGAAAUUGUUGUUGUGUCAUUGAUGUGUUCUUGAAGGUUGUUGUGGUUUUCAUCUUGUUCUUCAUCUCAUCUUACAACUUAAGACAACCAAAAGUGUAAUAUAGAUUCAAAAAGGUGAACCUACAAGUUGUAAAGUUGUUUGUGAGAAGACUUGAGGCAUCACUUCCUUGACUUGACAUCUACUUUUCAACCACUUUUCUUGUUUCAAGGGACCUUGUUUUAGUUAAAUUGUAUAAAUUCAAGUGUCACCUUUUGAAGAUUAGACUUAAAGGAGAUUCAAGACAUAUACUUUCCCUCCAAAACCAAUUGUUUCCAUUACAUAGUUACUAAAGUCUGUAAACUUCAACUAGUGACUAAUUGUGGGGCUGCGACCAAUGGUAUGCUUCCACAUCAUCAAGUUACUAUUCACACAUCAUUUUUGAGCUCAAAUUUUAGAUUUUCUUAGUUUUUUUUAUUGUUCCAUAGUUUCACUAGUACUCAUCUACUAGAUUCUUAGUUAGUCUUUGUGUUUGUUCAUUCGUGUUUUGCGUUUGUUGUGUGCUUUUUUUCUCUUUUGUGAAUUCGUUGUGUCAUGUUGGUUCAAGUCCAUUAAAAAAUUUCUUUUGAGUCAACUCAAACAAAAAUUUAUUUCGGGCAUAGAUAGACUCAUCCCUCAAUCACUCACGAAGUAUAAGCCGACUUUCAACACUUGCGAAACCAAGUGUGAGGUAAAACCAAGAGUAAGAGUGUGGUGAGGUAUUUUGAGCUAAUAAGUUUGUUUUGUUAUUUUUUGUUGUCCUUUGCUUUAGGUACCAUGGCGUCCACUAAUUUUGAUGCCAUGUUUGAUCGCAUCAACGACGAUCUUGAAGAAAUGAAAUGGCACGUGGAAAGGCUACGCCAAUUGUUACCUAAACUUAUCCCACAAAAUCCAACUUCCCUUGUCCAAGCACUUUGUGACGAGCGCUUCCUAAAGGAAGAGGUGGGCUACCCCAACCCACACCAAGGUAAAAAGGAGAUUGAAACAUCUUUUGUACUUGAUAAUGAACUUAUAGAGAGUGAAGCACUUGCUAGUUCCAAAUCUGUCCGUGAGAUAGAUCGUGCUCUCUUUAGGUUUAAUGUUUUUUUUGAAGAUGAUAUAAACACUCCUAAUGAACCUAGCGGUGAAAAUGAUGGUAUAGCUUUCCUUGAAGGCUAUAUCCGAUAUGCUAACCCACUAUGGUGUGACAACAUUCCUCCAAAAGAUGGAAAUCUCUUCUUGGAAGAUUAGAGUACUCUUAUGGGCAAGGAAUGUGUAGUCUCGGAAAUGAGUAUUCUUGGCAGUACUCUUGGUGUGCAUGAUGAUCAAUUUACUCUUAAAUGUAGUUCACUACUUGAUCAUGUAAAUGGAGUGCUUAAAAAUUCUCAAGUUAGUAAUGGUGUCUAUAGAAUUGAUCUUGAUAAUGCACAUGUUUCUUUGAACAUCUUGUGUGGUAAAAGAAUUGCAAUUAGUUUUGUUAAUAGAGAUCAUGUGCAUGAAAAUGUUUUUCUGUGUGAAUGUGGGAGUGACAUUCUAGGGAAAGGAAGGGAUAGCCUCGGCUUAGGCCCUUGGCUAAUUUUUCCAUUUGAUCCGGUACCAUCUUUGGGGUGGGAAACGAUGACUCUUGGCCUAUUUUUCUUUUAUCUUUAUGCUUGUCCAAGCCACUUUAUUUGUAGCAAUUGUACUAAUCUUUUCAUGAUUAAAACAAAGGACUCGAGGCUAUACUUCAAAUUUUUCCCGCCUCGGCAUGGAAUGUUGAUGUGUUAUUUUUACUAACCCUAACCCCUCAUGUCAUAACGAUGUGUGCUUAUUUGUCUUCUCUUGAUUUGCAAGGUAUGGAUUCGAGGUUGAAUCUUUUCCAAAAAGGGGAGGAUGAUACGAGUAUAACCACAAGGAUGGACGAGAAUGAGUGUGUAUUGAAUCCGUCCAAGGAAGUGCACAAGUGAAGUGUAAAAGAGGGCCUAAAUGCACUAAAAACACCCCCUAAGUUACACUUGAUGGGCACCUCACCCUUGAGGGGUACUGUAGUUAUUUUGUAUUCUAUUUUAUAAUACACUAUAUAUAGAACCUCUUAAGGUUGUUAGUCUGAGAUGUUUAUUGAUAUUGAAAGUUGUAACACUUGAAGAAUAUUUCUCUGUUGUGAGAAAGGCCUCUUGGCCAAAAAAUAUUGUAAUUAGUAUUUCCAACUUGAGUGUGAAAUCAUUCGUGUUGGAUUCAUGCUUGGAACGUUGGGUGCUAGAGGAGGUUGAGGUCUCUCUUGUGCUCACCGAAGAGAUAGGUAUUUGUAGUGUGUAGUGUUUAGGGUCCAAGAAUGGAAUAGGCUCUUGGGUUCUUAAGAUUAUACCUUCACUUUGUCUAUCUAUCUAUCUUUAUAUUUCUUGUACUCUUUGUUGUUUUUCUAGUCAAAAUCGUGUGUUGUUUUUUCUAUUGUGUUAUUGUUCAUCUUGUUCUUCAUCUUGUUAUCUUGAUACUCUCUUUGUUAGUUUGUGGUGGUUGUUUUGGUGUCAAAUAUACCAUUGUUAUCUCGUAUUGUUGUUGUCGUAGUGAAUCCAAGGGUGGUCUCCAAAAAGGUCCUCGGAUCCUUAAGAUUAGUGGACUGAUUUGGAGUGUGUUUCAUGUAUUCCAAGUUUUUAUCGUAUCAGCUUUUCCAUUUAACAAUUCUAAAGGUGUCUCAUUGGAAAGAAUUGAAGAGGGAAAUCUAUUUAUUAGGUAAGCAGUUAAUAAGAAAUCUCCCCAAAAACUUUUAGAAAGAUUCGAUUUAAAAAAUAAAGCUCUUGAAGUUUCCAGGAGGUGUUUGUGUUUUCUCUCAACAACACUAUUUUGUUGAGGUUUUUGUGUUUUCUCUCAACAACACUAUUUUGUUGAGGUGUAUGAGGACAAUUGGUUUGGUGUAUGAUUCAAUUACCCAAAAAAACUUUUUUGAUAGAUUAAAAGAACCACGAUCGAGGGCAUUAUCUCUUUUAAUGGUUUUACUGGUAGAUUAAAUUGAGUCUUAACCAUAAAAAUGAAGCUUUAAGUAUGGAAAACACCGCUUUUGGAAUUUAACAAAUGUGUCCAAGUAGCCCGACUAUAAUCAUCUACUUUAGUCAGAAAAUACCUGGCACCAGAAUAUGUUUGUGUAUGGUAGGGCCCCCAUGUGUCAAUAUGGAUAAGUUGAAAUAAAGAAGUAGAUUUUGAUGAACUAUCUGUGAAAAGUAAUCUAGCUUGUUAAGCUAAAGGAUAAAUGUGGCAAACAAAACAUUGUUUCGGAGACAAUUCAGAGGAUAUAAAAGGUAUGCACUUCAUUUUUACAAAAGGAAUAUGUCCGAACUUGUAAGGCCAAAUUACAUCAACAUUGUUUACAUUUUUCAUAGAUUAUGCAACAGAAACAUAUGAAGGAAAUAAACUAGUAUUUACAAAUUCAUUUAAAGGAAAUAAAGGAAUAACAUUCAUAGAUGGUGCAAAAUUAUUCCAAUCUAAAAUGGAGUGACCAUGUUUAGUUGAGAAAGUUGUGUCCAUAGUGGAAGAACAUGAGAAUGAGUUGGGAAAGUGUUGAAGGUGGUACAGUCCUUGGUGCAGCUUACCAAGUACCAGAAGUUUCUUAUUGGAAAGGUCUUAUACCAGGCAGGAAAAAGUAGUGAAGAGAUCAAAACUAUUAAAUUGUUGCAUGAGUUUAUGCACAGAAAUUAGAUUGUACUUGAAUAUAGGAAUAUAAAGUACCCGUUGGAGAGUAAAAGUUGAAGAAAGAGAAAGAGAACCUGUAGAGGUCACCUUCACUCUAUAUCCAUUAGGUAAUGUAACUAAGUAUGGGACAGAGAGAGGUGUAAUAUUAGAGAGAAGAAUUUUAUCAAAGGUCAUGUGGUUGGUUGCUCUUGAAUCUACUAUCCAAAUGCUUCUAGCUACACUAGUUAAUAUACAAGUAGAGUAAGAAAUACCAUUAAAAUUAGGCAAGUAAGAAGAACUACCAACCAAGUUAGUAGAUCCUAUUAAGUCGGAGUAAGGACUAGCAUUUGAAUCAGCAAGAUUGCACUGUUGCGGAAACAUAAACAACUGGGAAGAUUGCCCCUUAGUCAAACUAGGAACUAAACAACCUUGAUCAGAAGAAGAAGGUUUAGAUAUAGUAUACACAGAAUUCUGAUAAGAUGUGGACUCCACAUUAGCAGCAGUCCCAAACUUUCAAUUUUUGGUGAACUUAAAAUUGGGCAAAAAUCCAUGCAAUUUAUAACACUGAUUAAUGGAAUGUCUUGGCUUCUGGCAGUAUUUGUAAGUGAGAAGAGUUUUAGCAUAAAUCGAGUGGUCCUUCAGAGUAAAGUGCCUUGGAGGUGGUUGUGGACGUUGAGAUAGCUUGAAAUUCAGUUUUGCAUGAAAAGAAGCCAUUUCAGAAUGAUGUUAAGCCUAAAGAUUGACUUGUCGUUGUGUUUCAUCUUGUAAAAGAAUACUAUAAGCACUAUCAAUAGAAGUCAAGGGGUUCAUCAUGAGCAUGUUUCUCCUCACACCAACAUAAGCAUCAUUAAUCCCUAUGAAAUUGGCAUAGUUUGUUUUCUUUAUCUUCCUGUUUUAAACCUUGUUUUAAAGCACAUGUGCACUCAUUAUUGUAAUUUUUACACAUCGAACCCAGAUUAUCCCAUAAUUUUUUUAACUUAGUGAAAUAAUAAGCUAUGUAAAGUUCCCCUUGAGAUAUAGAAGGUAGUUCCUUCUUCAGCAUAAAAACUUUGGUUCCAUUUAUAAUGCCAUAUAUUUUGUUAAUCUAUUCCUAUAUACUCGGUGCGGUCUUGAAAUACUGCACACUAGCAGUAAUUUCUAGUGAAAAGGAACUCAUUAAUUACGACAUCACCAUGUUGUUACACCUAUCCUAGAGUCGCGCAUGAGCGGAACCUUCAGGUGGCCUAGGACAGGAGCCGUCAAUAAAUGUUAUCUUACUUUUGGCUAACAAAUAUGCAAUUAUUCCUCUUUUCCAUCUCCUAAAGCUAAUGUGCUAGCUUUUUGUUAGCAUAUUUAAGGCUUUUAACUCAGAAUAAUUGUAGAUUCUUAAGUAACUAUUGUUAUUUUUGAUUGUUUUCUCUUUAAUAUUACAGUAAAGUCAAGAUGCAAGAAAAUCAACGACAAUGAAAUCAAUAGAGAUGAAAUUAGAGCAAACAGACAUCAAAGUAUAGUUGACGACUUGUCUGAUAAGUCGUCAAAGUGAUAAGUCAUCAAAGUCAUCAUCUACCUUAGGUAGUGUAUGGGAGUUAGAUUUUGAAAGUGACGACAUCUGCUGAUAAGCCAUCAACUUUGUGAUAAGUAUCAGGAUUACCGUCAGCCUUAGGCAGUGUUCAGAAGCUGAGUUGAAGAAGUGAUAACAUUCUAUGAUAAGUCAUUAGAUCUUUGAUAAGCCGUCAAAAUCGUCAUCAGCUGAAGACAGCGACAUAUCAAAUACAGAGAGAAAUUAAUGACAUAUUUGAUAAGCCGUCAACCCCCUGAUAAGUCGUCACAUGUUGUCAUCACCUGUGUGAGAAAAAGUUGUAUGUUGUGGUUUGCUUCCAAAAUUAGGCUAAGUAAUUAAGGCAAAGUUGAAGGUUUUCGAGGGCAUCUUGAACUUCACGACAUUAAUCCAUUUUCUCUCUAAUUUUUAAGGCUUAACAUCUUGAACUUAUUCGAAAAACUAUUUUACUUCUCUUUGGUCUCUAAACUUGGAUUACAAUUUUUAAUUCUUUGAUUUAGUUGUGGGAUAUUCUUCUUGAAUUUGGGAAGAGAAUCAAUUUCUGACUACAUCUUUUGUAAGUUUAAUCACUUUGAAUUAUGAAUUUAGUUAUUGUUAUCGCUUUCUUUCUCAUGUGGAACUAAAACCCAUAACUAAGGUUGUGGGAUCUAUGAUUAUUCCUUUGUGGAUUUUAUAGUUGUUUAGGGUUCGAGUGAUUAUGGGAGCAUCUUGAUAAUUUCUUUGUAAUGAUUUUUUUCUAUUGGUUACAAGCAACAGAUCUAGCCUUAUGUUUGUUUGCUCGAACUGAGAAAUAAACUAAAGGUAGCGAAUUAUCAAUGAGGAUUUAGGAAGGUUAAGUUCUCAUCUAAUGAUUAAUGUUGUAACAAGAUUGAUCAACUCGAGAUAAAAUCAGUAUGAAUAGAAUAUUUUCUUAAGUUUGAGAGAAUUAGGGAGUUCAACAUCUAGGUAGGUUGAGCAACACUUAGAUGGACUAUUGAAACUGAUAAUUUGGUGUUUCCCACAAGUCAUGAGAAUCCAGUACUACAACUAUCAUUCAAUGAGGGGUUAAUAAUCAUAGUGAUCACUACUCUAGUAUCUCUAUAUCAUUGACUUGAAAUAUUGUAGUUUAAGCGUUGAGUUCUGAAGUGAAUUGAAGUGUUAAUAACUUUUGUUCAAUCAUAAAAAAAACCCAUUUUAUCUUUUCUUAUCAUUUAUUUGAAUUUAACUUGUAGCUAGUGUUUCAAAUUAGUUUAAUCGCCACUCAUAUUGUUCCUUAUGGAUUCGACCCCGACUUAAAAGUUGGAUAAAUAUAUUGACGAGACUGCCUUACACUAAAUUGACGUAUAGGUUAAGCAUUAUCAAAAAUGGCACGUUGUCGGGGAACAAUUUGGUGUAUUGAGUUGGUUUGGAAUUUUAGCCUACUUGCUUGAAUUCAAACUUGUAAAUAUUUAUUUUUAGUUUUCUUUUAUUUCUUGUGUUAGGUAGAUUUUUAUUUUAGUUUACUUAUUACUAUGACAUCGUGGAAUGACCAUGAGCUUGAUGGUUGAAAAUCUUAUCUUGAUGAUCCAUGUCCAUAUUGUGAUGGACCUCACUUUUGGCAAGAUUGUAGAUAUGCUCCCCGGAGAGAGAUGUGUGCACCAUUUUCAUCCUAUCGGGAGUAUGAUUGUUCUUUAUGUGAUGGUCAAGAUGGACAUUGGAGUGAUUGCCCAAAUACCCCCUCCCUCUAUUGUGCUAACUCAAAUUCUAGUUCUUCUUAUGAGUUUUAUAGGUCUUAUGGUUANNNNNNNNNNNNNNNNNNNNNNNNNNNNNNNNNNNNNNNNNNNNNNNNNNNNNNNNNNNNNAAGCUAUAUUUUAAUGAAUAUUGUAUCUCAAGAAAGAAAUGUAUGAUAUCAUAUGUGAUAUGCGUCAAGACAUGAAGCUAAUAAUUAAUGAGGAGAUGGAUAUAGAGGUCAAUCAUUUAAAGAAUUUUUCUAUAUUAUGUUUAGAUGAUAUCUUGUCUAUAGAAUCAUUUAAAAUAAUGUAAGAGUGUGAAGAUGAGGAGCAAGAAUUCUAUAUUAAUGUUGAGCUUGAUGAUGAGCAACCCUCAGUGAUUUCCCAACCAACCGAACCAACCAUGAGAUAUGAUGCCAAGAUUGAGGAAAUGGUGCUAGAGGCAAAAGAAGAAACCGAGCCAAUCUUUUAUAAAGACUCUAGCCCAAUUCGGGGUGAAGAGGUUGAGAAGGAUGCAACUCCAAAAUCAGGGAGAAGACCUCACUUGAAUCACUUUUCAACAUUAUGCUUGGUGGAUGUGAUGAAAGUCGAAUCACCCAAGCAAAUGAUGAAUUUUGGAAAUGAGGAGGAAAAUUCCUAUAUUUUUGAGUUUAUCUUUUCGAAAGGAUAUAAUACAACCCCAAUCUUGAAGGCCAAGAAGCUUAAAGAUUGAUGUCCAUUUAGUGGCUUUUUAUGAUUCUCACAUUGCCAAAUUAGCCCACAUGAAAGUUCGAUUCAAAAUUGGGCAAGUGGUUCAAGUCUUUGAAGUGGCAUGAUAGAACUUUCCUUAUCAUGCUCUCAUAUUUGCCCAACGCACCUCAAAGAUGUAAAGAUCGAAAGAUAGGCCGACGAUUCAAAUCGUCUAAGUGGAGGAAUAAAUUAUGAAGGACUUUCAAGUAUCUUGAUGAAUUUUGAGUAGUCAAGAUAAACUAGUCGUGCCGUGACAUUAAAUCAGGAGCUUCUUAGGAGGCAGCCCAAGGCAUUUUGUUAUUUGUAUUUGUAUUAUGUGAUUGACAUCAGAUCUUUGCACCUAUGGUUCCACAGGUAUAUUUCUAACUCUCUUAUUUUAGUUUGACGCAUUUGGGAUAUUGCAUGAUUUUAAGUUGAGGGUGGGGCUACUUGUGGGUGUUGAUGUCCUCUUGGGGUUCUUUUUUGCCGUAACCCUUUUCCCUGGAGUCUUGUUCCUAGUAGAGAUGGUAUAUUUAGGUGUAUUGUGUUUGUUUUGUGAUGUGUUGUGGUUAACUAGGGGAAAAAUAAGUAUCUAGGAUAGUUGACAUAUUUUUGUUGAUUUUUCUUGGAAUGAGAAAUACCUCUCUAAUUAUCUAUCUGGUAUCUCUGUGUGUGUAUCUAUAUGUAACUACUGUGAAUCUAUCUCUGGCAUUAGUACUAUGGACAUGAUAAUCACUGCUAACAAUUGCAUGAACCGAAUGGGUAGUAGUUUGUGAUGUACCUUUGUGCCAUGUGUGUGUGAGAUACUACCUAGUUUUCGUUGUGUGUUAAAUCCAUAACUUUUCUGGUUAGUCUUGCCUUGGUUGUAGGAUAGCGGUUAGGAAAUGAUCAUAGGCAGUUGUUGAUAUUAGUCCACUUUUAUCCUAAAUGACCUUCCAUGUGUGAAUAAUGUCCCUUGAUCCCGGUUUUGAGCCUGAAUGCCUAUUCUUUUUAUUAUACCUAUCACCUUCCCAUUUGUAUCACAAUUAACCUGUUUUGGCCCUGGUCCUCCUUGGACAUUGUGCCCUUUGACUUAGGCAAAUAAGCUAGGUUGAGCGUAGCUAUCAUAGGGGUGCGUGAUUUAAAGUGAGUAUGAAGAAAGGUAAUAAAAAAAUAUACAAGGUUGGGCGUGGUAGAAAAAGAAUCAGAAAAGAAAAGUUGUGAAAAAAGAGAAAAUGAAUGAAUAAAAACUGCACCCAGCUUGAAUGUCCUUUAAUCAAUAAAGGGAGAAAAUAAGGUAAAGGUUGAUAAGUGAGACCCCAAAAAUAGUGUAGUGCCAAGGAGGCUUAGUUACUUUAAAUAUCCUUAUGUAGCAUACCAGCCCCUAGCCUACAUUACAAGCUGAAGAAAAGUCCUAUAGUGAUCUUAACUUAACUGUCUGAAAGCUUCGAUAAUGAAAAUAAGGGCAAGCUUAUGGUAUUUGGCAUACAUUGACUGUAACUUCUUUCUGAGAGUGAGUGUCUCUUGGCCUUCCCCGCAUUGACAUGCUUGAGUUCACAUAUGAGUGAGGAGGGACUUCUUUAUUGUAAGGGCAUAUCGGUUGCAUUGCUAGUUACCUACUUGUUUGGGAAGUGUAAUUUGUAUAUAGGCAUAGUUAUUGUUGCUAAUUUGAUGCCAUAUCUUGGUUCCCUUGUGUCGCAUUAUUGAUCUUUAUUGAUAUACACAGUUGGAUUUAGAGUGAUUGAACUUGGAGAGUGUAAUGUGUUUGGAGCUAAAAUUGAUGAUCAACUGUCAUAGGUAUCUUAUGCUUUACUUGGUUAAGCAUCGUAGUAUGGUGUCAUGUAGUUGCUUAAGGAUAAGUAAUUGCUUUAAGUUGAGGGUGUUGAUGUGCUAACUUUUUGUUAGCACAUUUAAGGCUUUUAACUUAGAAUAAUUGUAGGUUCUUAAGUAACUAUUGUUGUUUUUGAUUGUUUUCUCUUUGAUAUUGCAGUAACGUCAAGAUGCAAGAAAACCAACGACAAUGAAGUCAAUAGAGAUGAAAUUGCAGCAAACAGACGUCAAAGUAUAUUUGAUGACUUUUCUGAUAAGUUGUCAGCUCUGUGAUAAGUCGUCAAAGUCAUCAUAAACCUUAGGCAGUGUAUAGGAGUCAAAUUUUGGAAGUGACGACAACUACUGAUAAGCCAUCAACUUUGUGAUAAGUCGUCAGGAUUACUACCAGCCUUAGGCAGUGUUCAGAAGCUGAGUUGAAGAAGUGAUGACAUUCCGUGAUAAGUCAUCAGAUCUUUGAUAAGCUGCCAUACUCAUCUUUAGCUGAAGACAGCGACAUAUCAAAUACAGAGAAGAGUUGAUGAGAUAUCUGAUAAGUCGUCAACCCCCUAAUAAGUCGUCAUAUGUUGUCGUCACCUGUGUGAGAAAAAGUUGUAUGCUGCGAUUUGCUUCCAAAAUUAGGCUAAGUAUUUAAGGCAAAGUAGAAGGUUUUCGAGGGCAUCUUGAACUUCACGACAUUAAUCCAUUUUCUCUCUAGUUUUUAAGGCUUAACAUCUUGAACUUAUUCGAAAGACUAUUUUACUUCUCUUUGUUCUCUAAACUUGGAUUUCAAUUUUCAAUUCUUUGAUUUAGUUGUGGGAUAUUCUUCUUGAAUUUGGGAAGAGAAUCAAUUUCUGACUACAUCUUUUGUAAGUUUAAUCACUUUGAAUUAUGAAUUCGGUUAUUGUUAUCGCUUUCUUUCUCAUAUGGAACUACCCAUAACUAGGAUUGUGGGAUCUAUGAUUAUUUCUUCAUGGAUUUAAUAGUUGGUUAGGGUUCGAGUGAUUAUGGGAACAUCUUGAUAAUUCCUUUGUAAUGAUUAUUUUCUAUUGGUUGUAAGCAAUAGAUCUAGCCUUAUGUUUGUUUGCUCGAACUGAGAAAUAAACUAAAGGUAGCGAAUUAUCAAUGAAGAUUUAGGAAGGUUAAGUUCUCAUCUACUGAUUAAUGUUGUAACAAGAUUGAUCAACUCGAGAUAAAAUCAGUAUGAAUAGAAUGUUUUCCUAAGUUCGAGAGAAUUAGGGAGUUUAGCAUCUAGGUAGGUUGAGAAACACUUAGAUGGACUGUCAAAACUGAUAAUUUGGUAUUUUCCACAAGUCAUGAGAAUCCAGUACUACAACUAUCAUUCAAUGAGGGGUUAAUAAUCAUAGUGAUCACAACUUUAGUUUCUCUAUAUCAUUGCCUUUAAAUAUUGCAGUUUAAGCUUUGAGUUCUAAAGCGAAUUGAAGUGUUAAUAACUUUUGUUCAAUCAUAAAAAAACCCUAUUUUAUCUUUUCGUAUCAUUUGUUUGAAUUUAACUUGUAGCUAUAGUUUCAAAUUAGUUUAAUCACCACUCACAUUAUUCCUCGUGGAUUCGACCUCGACUCCAAAGUUGGAUAGCUAUAUUGACGACGACUGUCUUGCACUAAAUUGACAUGUAAGUUGAGCGUUAUCAAAAUCCUACACCAAAUAAAUGUAUAUGUACUAAAGACGUUCCAGGAACAUCAGAGGAGUGCAUAAAAGGAGGACUAGAGGAAUAUACUCGCAAUAACACACUCAACCAAUCGACAAACAAUCACCUCAAAAUUCAAAUAAAGAUGUAGAGGAUAAGGAAAUGAAGUACAAAACAAAUCCACAACCUAAAAAAACACUUUAUCGGAGAAGCCGACUGCACAUUUGAGGAUACCUGAAAAAAUACCUUCUGAUCGGAACCCUAGACCGGAGAAGACUACUGCAAAUAUGAGGAUAUCUGAUAAAAAUACCGUCAAAUCAGAAUAUAUUAUAUUUUUUGUCACAAAUUUCGUUAGAGAUCAAUAAAAUAUUGCACUUUUUUGUCAAAAAUUCUGAUAGAUAUCAACAAAGAAGGAUCAAAAUUUGAAAGAAAAUGCAGAGGAUAGGAUCGGAGAAUAAAAUCACUAGAAUUUAGCAAAUUUCCUCUCUGAUACCAUGUGAAAUUUUCAAAAAUUAUAGAGAAAAGGAGUAAAAUACAAUAAGUGUUUUGUGAAGAUGACGAGAGAAAGAAACUGAUUUCAUAUUUCUCAAAAUAUCCAAUGAGCUACAGUACAAUAAAUGCCCCUUAUAUAGUUGGGAAAGUCCACCUACUUAGUACCCAAAUAGGGUUGUUACAAAAUGGGCCAGUCCAUUUAAAAAUGUGAAGUAUAGAAAUUGAAAACAAAAUCACUACACACUACGUAACGCUAACAAAAAUGAGAGUUCUCAUGGAGGAGUAAAAAAAAUAAAAGGAUGUGGUUGACAUAUCCAUUCUUAUGUAAAAUAAAUAAAAAGGUUAACUAUACUAAACAUUCCUAUAAUAUAUUUUUGUUUCAGAUAUAGCUAGAAAUAGCGCCAGGAAAGAUCAAGGGGUUCACUUAAAGGAGUUUAGGUGAAAAAUAUAGUGCCUAUAGAUGAUUAAAAUUUUAUAUUUUUAUAUAUAUAAUAGGUACUGAACCUCUUUUAGUUUAGUAGUAUGUUUAUUUUUUUAUUAUUUAGACCCUCUUAAUGAUAAUCCCGGCAGAUCUAGAUAGAGUCAUUGAUUUUAAAAUCAAAUAGUUACACCCAAAAGAUACUAUAGAAAUUCUAAACAUACACCCGAUAUAUGAAGUAUAUCAUUAAAUAACUACAUAUAUUAAAUUAUAAAUUAUUAAAAAUAAAUGAAAAUUAUAAAUAGAAAAAUGGCAAAGCUAUUUUAUGAAAUUUAAAAGGGAGAAAACAUUGGUUGAAAACUUGUAUUCACACAUUUGAUUAAAAAAAGCAAAAUAUAUUUUCUGAAAUAUGUCUUUUGAAACUCUUGAAUAGCAAAUAAAUACAAAUAACAUAAUAAAUGUUAUGAAAUAUAAAAUAAGAACAAGAAGAAUAGAGAGAGAAGAGAGAGUGAUUCUUAUUUCUCUAGAGGAAUUCUUGAGGGGUUCAAUUACAAUGAAAGAAAAUUCUUUUAUUUAUAAGGAAAAACUAACUUUGUUCCAAAAGUUGGGGUUUCUAGCUUUUCCAUAAAUAGAUAUUCACUAUAUAUGAUAAUACAUUCAUAACACCCUCUCUUGAAUGUCUAAUUGCUAAAUAAUGGUCCUCGUUAAAUCUUUACUAAAAAAUCCAGUGAAAGAAAUCUGGUGAAGGAAAAAGAGUACACAUCUCUAAUAAUACGCAUAUAGGCUGCCUCAUUAAAAAACUUACAAAGAAAACCCAUUUGUACAAAAUUUGGUAUGGAAAAAAGAGUACAACACGUAUUAACUUCCCCUAAUGAGAAUAUCCUUGCACCUUUACAUCUUGAUCUUGUGCACCAUCUGUAUGAAAGUUGCAGUUGGAAGAGAUUUGGAGAAUAAAUCAGCCACAGUUUCACUUGAAUGAAUCUAUUGCACAUUAAUAUCACCAUUCUUUUGGAGCUCAUGUGUAUAGAAAAUCUUUGGCGAAAUGUGCUUCGUUAUCUCCUUUAUUAAUCCUCUCUUAAGUUUUGCUCUGCAUGCUGCAUUAUCUUCAUAUAAAAUUAUGGGUACUUUUUCACAUUUCAAAUAAUAUUUUUCUCGAAUGAGAUGUAUCAUGACCUCAACCACACACACUCUCAACUUGCUUUAUGAAUAACUAUAAUCUCAGUAUGGUUCAAUAAGGUGGCUACGAUAGACUUCAUUGUAGAUCUCCAAGAUAUGACAGUACCUCCACAUAUGAACACAUAGCAUGUUUGAGACCAAACUUUAUGCGGGUAAGAUAAAUACCCAACAUCAACAUAACCAACAAGACCGGGACUGCAAUCUUUAGAACAAAAUAAGUUCAUAUCUUGAUAAUCCCUUUUAGGUACCAACAUAUGUUUGAUUCCAUUCCAAUGUCUCAUAGUAGAAGCAGAACUAUAUUUUGCUAACAAAUUAACCAAAAAGGUUAUAUCAUACCUUAUAGUAUUUGCAAUAUAUAUUAGUGCACCAAUUGCACUAAGAUAUGGUACUUCAUAAUCAAUCUAAUUGGUAUAUUUCUCAUUUUAGCAAAUAAUCUAUUGCUUUUGAAAACUUCUCCAAGAGUUCUAAUAAUUUUCAAAUUGUUAAUUUAUGUAAUAUAAGGAUUAUAAAUAAGUUUACCAGAAACUUUUAUAUGUUACAAACAUUUUGAGUCCUUAAAAAGUUUUCAUAUAAAUUUUGUCAAGCGACAAUAUUCAACAUUUCAUGUGUGACAUCUUCAAGUUCUGGAUUGCAAAUCAAAUAAGUUUUAUGCUUAUCAAGAUGCAUCAUUUCAUGAAACUUGAUAAUUAUUUCUACUUUAGCAUGUUUAAAUAAACAUAGAAUUCAGAUCCUCAUAAUAUUUUACAAUAUUGCGCCAACAUUGUAUCAAAGAUAUUAUCGAUGAUAUAUAAUUUUGUAUCAGUUCACAAUACGACAUAACAUUUUGAGAUCUUAUCACUUUAUUAUUUUCAGGUAUCUGAAUCUUUCAUAAGGUUGCAUGAAGUGUUAUGUCGUAGGCUCUUUAAAAUGCAUUGUCUCUUUAUUAUGAUCAUUUACUCCUUAUCUCUUUCAACGAUUAUUUCAUUUGAAAUCAAUUGGUCUACCACUCUUUACAUAUGCAUAGACUUUGUCCUUUAGGAACACACAAUAGGAGCAAUUGCAGCUUAAAUAUAAGAUUAAAUUUGAGUUAGCAAAUGCUUCCGGUAUUUGACUCAAACUAUCUUUUGAAUGAGGAACUAAUGUUAAUUUCUAACAUACUUCAUAGCUGCUUAUAAUCUCCCCCUUAUAUUUGGAAAACUAACAUACAUCCUUUAUCUUCUUUGAGAAAUCCAUCUUUGUGUAUCAUGGUAUAUUCACUAAUCAUAUACCGCACAUUAAAAUUAUUAGAUGGAAAAUAUGUAGUUUCUGAUCCUGAAUCAAUUUUGAGGGGGAAUUAACCACAAUUUAUUGAUUUGCUGUGUACACGUACUUUUGUGUAAAAUAUAUCAUUUUUCAAACCAACACAUAAAGUUUUGUUCUCAUAAGAAAUGAUUUAGCUAAUUUUCUGAAGGCAUUUAAUGCCAAACCAACUUGGAUAUUCAUCAAUCUGAAAAUUAUGCUUUUAACUCAAUUUAUAUUGAGCAAAUAUUUUUUAUGGAUGUCGAGCUGUAGUUUUACAAGAAACGCACAUGUGAUCAUCUUGUAUCGAUGCAUCUUAAUAUAUAUCAUAUGAUAGGUGAACGAGCUCUUAUUAACGUUUAAUACUUUCUAGAUUUAAGGUAUUCAAUCCUAAUAUUAAUUGGUCCAACCAACUUAUCAUGAGAACAAACGACAUGGAUAAUUCUUGAAGAAUCUUAUAAUUUUGUAUUACAUGUCCAAUACUCAAUAUGCACAUCUUUGAAAUGUCAUAAUCAUUCAUGUCAAUUUAUGAAUUUGUUGGUACUAGUAAACUCCAAGUUUACUAUGAUAUGUAAUUUUUUAUUUAGAAAAUUUCAGAUUUACUAUUACAUAAUAUAUUUUUGAAUUUACUACAUCAUAUGUAAAUUUUAGAAUAACUCCCCUCAAUUAUUCUGCCUCUUCCGGAGGUGAGUUGUGAUACCAUCACAAUCAAGUGCAUGUUUGUAUUGAUAAGCUUUACUAAAUAUUAUUACAUCACUUUAAGGAAUGAAUCUAUAUUUAAACAAUCGAAGUUCUCAUUUCCCGAGAAUAAAAUAUAAUUGUGCCUUAAACUUAUCAAAUUAUGAUAACUUAUAACCUCUUUUAAGAUGUUGCUACUUUAAGAAGAAAUCAAGGCAUACAUAUAAUGUAGAGAAAUUUUCUCUAACAUAUCUUAUGAUCAUAAUAAGCAUGUGAAAUAGUAUCACUUUUGAUAAAUAUUAUCAUAUUGUCCCUCCAUGCCCAUAUUCAUACACUCAAUCACUUGUCUUCUUUCAGACAUAUUGUGCAGUGCCACCACAUUCACUUCAGGAAUGAGGCAUAUUCAAUACGACAUGUUUCAUAACUUUUCAUGAAAUACAUAUUAUUUUUCCUUAACCAUCAUUAUAUCAUCAAUAGAGUGCAUUGAGAUUUAUACUUAACGUUUUAUCCAUAUAAAGAUGUCUUUGACAUAAAUCAAUUGGAUCUAACCACACACCAAAAUGGAUUAUCACCAAAUUCACAAAUCGAAUUAAUUAAUAUAUACUGAUUGAUCAGGUGAACCAUUUAAUUAGGUUUCUCACAUCAAGCAGAUCCAACAAUUUCUACUUCUAAUAGCAACCUGGUGAUAGCCAUGUACAUAUAUUGAUCUGCUCAUAUUUAAAGUCAAGUAAUUGAACUUGAGAGAUCCAAAAUAUGUAAACUAAUAAGAUAAAAACUUACUUGGCGUACAUAAAAAUGGUAUUUGACUUUUGGAUAUGGCAACGUCAAGUUUUGAAAACUUCAAUACUCUAUAAAAGUGAAUUUCAUCAUAUUACUUACCUCCUUCAUAAUAUUACUUACCUCGAGCAUAAAGCUAUGACACUAUUAACACUUGAUACUACCAACAAUAUUUUAUAAUCUCAAUUGGCUAGAGCCCCAUACUGAUAACGUGUUAUGAAAUAUAAAAUAAGAACAAAGAGAAUGGAGAGGGAAGAAAGAGUAGUUCUUAUUUUUUUUUUUUGAAGAAUUCUUGAGGGGUUUAAUUGCAAUGAAGGAAAACGCCUUUAUUUAUAAGAAAAAAACUAACUUUGUUCCAAAAGUUAGAAUUUCUAACUUUUUCAUAAAUAGACAUUCACUAUAUAUGGUAAUAUAUUCAUAACAAUGAAAAUAUUUUUUUCUAAAUAACUACUUAAAAUGUUGGCUUAAGUCAUCGAUAACCCCUUAAACUUGUUUCGAAAUUUCACUUGGACCUCUUACCUCAUACUUGUACCUAUUGAACCCGUAACUCACCCAAAAUUUGAACCAUUGAAUUUUUUUUUAUCAAUCAACUAAAAGCACAAAAUGUGUGCAACAAACUCUCGCUGACGUGGCAAAAAUGACGAAUUAAACUUGUACAUUUGACAUUAAAUCUAAAAAAUAAAUGGUAAGAAGAAAUAUAUGUAUAUAUAUAUAUAUAUGUAUGUAUGUAUGUAUGUAUAUGUAUAUGUAUAUGUAUAUAUUUUUUCACCAGAUCAUACAUGAACACACAGGGAUCACCAUAUGCAAAAAAUUUAUACUGGCAGCAAUGUGUAUACUAAAAUUCACCUUAAAAAAAUGUAAUUUUUAAUACAUUUGCAUUCACUUAAAUUGAAUUAACCUUAGAUCCACAUAACCGAUCAAAAACCUCAAAAAAAUUACACAAAAAAGGGGGACAAAAUCAGUUGAAUUCAAUUUUUUCAACCUUUAGAGAAUGAAUUUGCUCCGCCGUGUUGUUCCACCGGAAGCGGCAAUACAUAUACCAAUCUAGCCGUCACCAAUCCCCUCCUCCAAAUUUCAUCAAAAUUUCAAUUCCCCAAAUUUUCACACCAAUUUUGUCAAAAUUCUCGAAUUUUCCAAAUUCCCGUACCAAUUUCUUCAAAAUUCCAAUUUCAAAGAUUAUUUUUUAGCAAAUCUUAUCUAAUUUACCACACUUAUUUCAUCGUAAGUUCAAGACCCAAAAUAUAAAUUUAUAAUUUCUAUGAAGAUUGUAAAUAUUUGGUGUGGAGUGGUGGACUUGUAAUAGUGAAGUGGUGGCAGAGAUAACUGUAGUUUAUGAAGAGGACAAAGAGAAAAAAAAUAUUUACAAGAAUAUAAGAAAGAAGAGGAAGACAUUGGGGUGUGCAUCGAUCGGUUUGGUUCGGUUUUAUAUAUUAUCAGUUUGGUUUAUCGAUUUUUGAUUUUUAAAUAUGCUAAACCAAUACGAUAUUUUUUAUCGAUUUUCGGUUUAUCGGUUUUUAGUCCUUAACUGUUUGGUUUUCGAUUUAACCGAUAAGAAAAUACUCAUAAAAUAGAAAUAGUAGUAACUAACAUUAAAAAAAAUCGAAUCUUAGUAGCAACCAAAAAUCCAACAUAAUGUGUUUUAAUUUACAAGUAUCUUCACGUUUGAACUAAAUGUUAUUAGGAGAAAUUAAUAGUUUGUAUAAUUGAAACAAUAAGUUUGUUAAUUGGUAGAAAUUAAAGAGAAAUAUAUAAUAAGUCAUACAUAUAUAUAUAUAUAUAUAUAUUCUAUAAUAUAUUAAAAGUGUGAAAACCCUUAAAAAGUGAUUUAAAUUUUUUGCCCUUCUUUAAAAAUUCUCCUUUAGACAAAGUCGUCUUUUUACUUACGUUUUUUCUUAUAUUUAAAAUCCAACUAAAAUUAUAUAUAUUGUUAUAAAUGUAUUUACAUUAUAGUGAAUAUAUUCUUAUUGGGUUAUCGGUUUACCCAAUAGCCCAAUAAGAAAAAAAUUAAACCGAACCAAUAACCCAAUAUUUUUUUUAUAUAAAACCAUUAACAAACCGUUAACCCAAUAACAAUAAACCAAUAAUAUUUUUAUCGGUUUGAUUUAUUGGUCAUUUCGAUUUUGGCACACCCCUAGGAAGACAGGGCAGAGAGCUUUAGUUGAUUAUGAAGAGGAGAAAAACAUUAUUUAAAAAGAAAAUAAAAAAGAAAGAGGAAGAGAUUGAGGAAAAAAUUAAUGAAAAAGAUGUGACUUUUAUAUUUAAAUUUUGGCUUUUUUUUGUGGACAUGUCAAUUUUUUUAUUGGUUUGUCAAAAAAUCUGAAAUGCUUCAUGCACCCAGUGGCGGAUGUACAUGUAUUCCAGGGGGUUCAUCCGAACCCCCUAUGUUGGAAAAUUAUACUAUGUUUACAUGGUAAAAAAAAAAUUUAUGUAUAAAUAAUAGAGGCUGAACCCUCUUCAACUAGUCCGUAUAUGACUACUGAACCCCCUCACUGAAAAUUCUGGAUCCGCCACUGCAUGCACCUACCUUGAGUAAUUUUCACUCUAGGUGCCAUGUGGACAAAAAAGACUUAGGUGGUUCAAAUUUUGGGUGGGUUAGGUGUUCAAUAGGUACAAUUCUAAGGUGAAGGGUCCAAAUGAAAUUUCGAAACAAGUUCGAUGAGUUAAUUUAAGCCUAAAAUAUUUUACCCUAACUUUACCUUUCCUAAUUUGAAAGGUAUGAGGAAUAAGAUAAAGGAUACUUUGAGAAGAAUAUAGUUCUAUUUAAUCAAACACUUUCUACGUUUAUUUAGUUGGCCUUAAUAUUAAAUUUUUUUUCUUUUUGCUCUUUUCGUUCAUUAAUUUUUGCUUUCCCAUUAUAUUAGAAAUAGUUGGUCGACUUUUCUUGUUCGAUUUGUUAAACCAAGAGAUAAUUUAUCAUUUUAUAUUUAUUUGCCCAUGUUACUAAAUACAACAUUCAUUGCCAACAUUUAGAUUAUUUGUUUAAUGGGUGUAUCAAGUCAACAUGAGUUAAGUAGUAUUAAUCAGAUGGAGUAAUUGUUAUGAUUGACAUUAUAUGCUCUCUUUCCUCAAUACCUGUCAUAUGACUAGAAAUAGAUAUUUUAUAAGAAUAAAUUCUUUUGCCAUCGAAAUUUGACCCAAAUUAGGCCACAAUAGUGAAUAAAAAACAUAUUCACACUAUAAACUAGUUAUUUUUUUUAGAUAUUUUUACCUCUUUUAUCCUAAAUUUAAAAUUCUUACAUUACUUUAUUUAUUAUCAUUACCCAAUAAAUUAAAAACUAUCCCAAUAGAUGAGAUUAGACAAUUUAUGUAUUCUAUUUUUAAUUAUUUAAUUUUUUUAAAAGAAAAUUACAUUAUAAAAUAAUUGUCAAAUGUAAUAGUAUGUAAUUAAGAAAACAAAAAUUAGUCGGUACAAAUUUAUUUAUUAGUUGUUAGUUAUAAAAAAAAAUGUUUGAAGUAGUUUAAUUUUAGUUCAACUUUUAGUUAUAUAGUUUAUACUUUGUACAUUUUUGAAAUUUAAUUAAAUUAUUUUAUUUAUUUUUUAUCACGCGAGUUCGAUUCUAUGAGGGUUUCUUUUUAAUGAAUAUGAAAACUAAUGUGUGAAUACAGAGUUUUAAUAAUAACAUGUUUUGGCAUGCUUAAAAUUUUGUUACUUUACAUUUUUCUAUAGAUAGAUAUACUAAGAAAAAUUUGUCAUAGUUAAUGUGAAAUUUUUUAUGACUAAACAAUUUAACCAAAAUAUUUUUUCCGUUACAUACAUAGAAAUAGAUGUGGCUAAAAUUUAUUUACAAAUUUUACAUGGUUCAUAACCAAGAAUUUAUACUUAUUACUACAAAAUUCUAUUAUGUUAUAAACUAUAUCUAUAAAGAAAUAUUUAUGUUACAAGAAAUAUACGUAUGGUAAGUGAUUUUAUCCACGACAAAUAAUUGGUAUCUAUCUUCAUAUAAUUAACGACAAUUUGUAGAAUUUUGUUUAGAUCAAGUAUAUUAAUUAAUAAAAUAAUAAGAUCUAGUAAUAUACUUCCUCCGUUUAAAAAAGAAUGACCUACUUUUCUUUUUAGUCCGUUUAAAAAAGAAUGACCUCUUUUCUUUUUUGGCAAUACUUUAAUUUCAACUUUUCACAUGACAUGUUUAGUACCACAAGAUUGAAGGACAUUUUGGUACAUUUGACACAACUUUAAUUUAUGACCACAAGAUUCAAAAGUCUUCUUUAUUUUCUGAAACUUUGUACCAAGUCAAAGUAGGUCAUUCUUUUUGAAACGGAGGGAGUAUUUAUUCAAGUUAUAUUUGAAACUUAUAAAUAAGAUCCUAUAAAUUUUGAAUAGAACUGAAUAACAAACACCUCUAAUCAAAUGAUAAUUCUAAAACAAUUGAUCAGGAGUAAGCUUGAGUGAAACAUUAAAAUUUUGUUUAAAAUCUUUAUAAUUAGUUAUAAAGUUAAUAUAAUCAUUUAUUUUAAAAUUAUAUUUGAAACUUACAAGUUAUAGAAUUAAAUCGCAUCAUUGACAACACUUAUUACACUAGAUCGAUAAAAAUAUUAUUUUGAUAAAACAAGUCUAAAGUAAAAUUUAAUUCUUUUUAAAUUUAUCAUAAUUAGAUAAUAAAAAAAACUAAAUUUCGCCAUUUAUUUAUUUAGAUAUAAAUUAUUGUACAAAUACACUUCUGUGAUAACUAUGUUCAAUUAUUAAUCCUCGAUUCAACUAAUUAUAACUACAUUCAUAAUAAUUAUUGGUUAAUUUAAUUUAAUAGUAGACCUACAAGCAUGUUCAGAUAGAUGAGGUUCGAAACUUAUAAAAUAACAACUGUCAGAACACUUUAUCAAGAUAAAAUUUGAGUGAGACAUGAUAAAAUUUUGUUUCUCUUCAUUAUAAAUAGCAAAUUUAAAGUAUUUAUACUAUAAUUACUUAUAUUUAAAUUAUAUCUGAAAUUUACUAGUAAGACCUAUUAAGAUUGAAUCAAAUCAAAUUAUGUUAUAAUCACUUAUUUAUCUAAAAUAUAUUUCAAAUGUACUAGUAAAGUUCGGUAUAAUCAAAUCAAAUAAAAUGAUUAACACAUCUAAUUAUCUUAGAUCGAUGGUGUUUGAUUUUAUAAUAAAGAUUAUCCAAUCACUAUAUGGGCAUGCUAUAAUAUCUCCUUUUUUAGUUUUUAGUGUUGUUACAAUAAUUUUUCACUCAUGAUAAAAACAAUCAUUAACUACAAAUUCUAUCAAAAAUCAUUUCGUCAUAACAGAUAGUUAUGGAACUUGAAGCAAAAUUUAAUAAUUGCCAUAAUUUUUCAAAACUUGAAACAAAAAUACUUAUUUAGUUACAAUAUUUUGCUUGAAGUAAUUUAUUGUACCUAAAAAAGUUAGUAUUGUUGCAGUAAUUUUAUUAAGUUAGAGACAUGCCAAGAUAUACUUGUGUGAGAGCAUCCUUUUACUAACUGUUACAACUCCAAAAAUCGAUAGGUCAUGAUGACACUUGUCGCGGUGAACCUUGAUAAGUAAGCUUCUCACCCAAACUGAUACACACGAAAACAAGACAAAAAUGCCCCAAAGGUAAGGCUUCUAAAAUGAAGACGAACCACAUAUAUAUAAUAAAAGCUGAAAGAAUAAAAUCAACAUAUGCAACCAUAACUCUCAAAACGUGGUGUCAACAGUAUAAGAACUACCAAUACAAUUCCGGAGUCAAAUACAUCAGAAAAAUAACCAUAAAGAAAAAUAUCUAUCUCCGAACACUAAUAAAGACAUAACUAAUACAAAAAGAUAGAGGUGAACUCCGGACGCAUGAAUGUCCAAUUGCUACCUUGAAAAAUCUAAAAAUGCCCAAAAUCAACCAGUCAGAGGCGCACCGAAACCUAAAGCUACACCAAAAGGGUGAAGUAGGAGUGAGUGCGGUCUACUUAUACUUAGUAGGUAUCAUAGAUCGAUUGAGCAAAGUAGAAAAUAAUGAAUACAAAAUACACUCUAAAGGUACGUCACCUGCAAUCAGAAAAUAUCCCACAACGGUAGCCCACAUCACUUGCACUAACAGUUCUAAUAUAUCACAUAUAUUAGAACAACAAACCAAGAUAAAAUAAAAGCAUGCAUUAUAUCACAUAUAAGUAGAACAAGGAAAAACAUGUAGAUACAUGAUUAUGAAAUACAAGUAAAGGAAGGUAAGACCAAUACAUAGAUGACAAGUCAAUAUUGCAAUACAACACAACAUAAACUCAAUAAAGUAAGUGCAAUUUAUAUGGUGAUGAUGAUGAUGAUGCACGAGGUCGCCACACUACGUCUGAAAUCGUCAUACUAUCCCCGUAUACACCUACGGAGCAAGCCUCCCAAUGCUGGACCCAUGGGGAGUUUCAUCAACCCGUAUAAAGUCUACAUAUCUCCUAUAUCUUCCUUGGCACAUUUCUCUGGGAGGGUUUUAUAAGGUGUUACAAUAUCUCCUCUCCGGCACUUCCCUCGAAGAGGGUUUUAUAAAAGGCAUUGCCAGUGUUUCUCAGAUGUUGCCACAGUGGUACCAAUGUUUCAUGAAUGGGUAUGAUAUGAGGAUGUAAUGCUCACAAACAAUCACAAUGAGUAUUUUCACAAAAAAUCACAAUGAUAUAUUUUCACUACCAACCAUAAUUAUAUAUUUCCACAACCAUAUGAUCCAAUAUUCACUCAUUAUUUUCGUUUGAUCCAUGAAUUUUUCCAUGUCUCAUAUAACAAGUAUGAAUGUAUCACAAUACACCAAUGAUACCACAUUAGGCAUUUCAACAACCCAAUAAAAUUAUUCACGUAUAUUCAAGUCCAUCAAUGUCACAUAGAACCCCACACAGUCAUACAUAUCACAUAAUAUCUCAAUUUCAAUAAUUACAUUACAUAUAGGCCCCCACACGGGUACGACACAUAGAUAGCUAUUUUUUGAUGAUUAGUUUCCACCCUUAACAUGCAUUUUGUAUCAUCAUUUACUAUCUAGCCUAGUCUGAAAGAGUUAAGCCAAAAUCUACCCUGAAAGUCAAAACUUGUCCGCUACACUUCGUACCUACGAUCUUACUUUCCACGCACGAUCCCAAACUCCACGAAAAACAUCAAAUAUGGAAUUUAUGCAUCAAAAUAAAAUCAACGACACCCACAUUUUAGGAACCUACGGACUUUCGAAAUGAGUUCUUGAAAAAGAAGGGUAAAAUCGUAACUUUAAUUUAAAAAUGUGUUCCCCACAUUUUUAGGAACCUACAGCUAAAAACCCAAGUCAAAUUGAGUAAAAAAACGAGGUUCAAGUCAAAGAAAACCAUUUUUAAGUUUUACCAGAUAAAAUCUUUAAAAUUUGGGUUAAAAUCAAGAAUCAGAGCUGUUUUGAAAGUUAAAUUAAUGAAAAACUAGUAAUUAUAAAAUUAAAUAUUAUUCAAAUAAAAAGGAGUGAAAUUGGGGUUUAAAAUCAAGCGCUAAGAUUUUUGGGGUUUUGAGAAAUUAAUCAAGAAUUAGAGUAAGAAAGGAUGAAAUCUCACCUUAAAUUCGUAAUAGGAUCAAGAAAUAGGUGUUAAUCUAACUCCUCAAGCUCCCACAAGCUUCAUUUUUAAGCUCUCACACUAUUUUAGAGUUUAACUCUCAAAAGGAAAGGUGAAAGAAUGGAGAAAAUGGGCCAAAAAAGGGGGUUAAAAAAUUGAUCUGCUAUAGUGCAGAUUUUUCUAAGUCCAAACGGACUUCGACGGGGUGCCCGGAAUUCAUUCUGGUUCGAUAUAUGCAAACAAACUAUGUAACCACACUAAAUUCGAUGCUCCGGGCUCAAUGGUGAUAUCAAAUUUUGAAAAAAAAAAUAUUAUUUUUAUAAAGUUGACCCCCGAAACUCGAAAUCACAAUUUUUCAAAUUGAGGGUCGAAAUGAGAUUUAAAAGCCGUAAAAAAACACCAAACCUGUUACCACCCUAGAAUCAAAUUUUUGGAUCUGUCGGAAAAGUCAUAUUUUCCAUCUGAGGUUAUUUCAAUCAAAUGUGGAUACCACAUCCAUAUUUUAAAAUUUUCAACUUUCCGACCAACAGGUCAAUAUGAACUCGGGUGCACCGAGACCCGAAUCAAAGGUCUACCUAGCCUAAAAUUUAUAUUUCAAAGCUGCUGGCAUAGUUUGUCCAGCCAUUCGUCGUACGAAUCAAAAGAUAUAUACAUAAGUCCAAAAUAAGGCUCUCAAAGCCAUAAAAAAUCACAAUAUCACAUAAAUGGUACCAAAAUAUAUCAAAAACUGUGUCAAUCACAUCCACACCCUAAAAAUACCAUAGUGCAACUAUGAAAAGGAAUAAAAUAGUCAAAUCACAUAAAAUUAUAAAUUUCACAUCAUAAAAUUUUCAGGUCGUAACGUCAUCCACCACUAAAAAUCUAGUUCGUCCUCGAACUAAGGCAAAGACAUACAUGAAUCAAUGAAGAGCUAGGGAUAGUAACUACACAUAUCACACUCAACCUCCCAAGUAGCCUCAUCUACAGGUCGAUGUCGCCAUUGAACCUUAACCAUAUGGAUAACUCUAGAGCGCAACCGCCUAAAAUCCCUAGCCAAAAUGGAGAUUGGUUCCUUAACAAAAGACAACCACUCAUCUAACUGAAUUGAAUCCCCAUGAAUGACAUGAGACUUAUCAAGAAUAUACCAGCAAAGCAUAGAAACAUGAAAAACUAAAUGAACAACUAAUAGAUCAGGGGGUAAAACCAACUCAUAAGCCAUAUCACCAACAGUCUGAAGAAUCUCAAAUGAGCCAAUAUACCUAGGGCUAAGUUUUUCCCUCUUCUAAAACCUCAUCACACCUUUUAUGGAUGAAAAUCGAAGGAAGACACAAUCAUAAACACCAAAUCUCAAGGCACGAAGUCUAUGAUCAGCAUAGCACUUCUGCCUACUCUGAGCCACUCUAAGUCUAUCAUGAAUGACCCAGAACCUAUCUAAAGACUCAUAAAGCAAGUUUGUACCUCGAGGUCUCACCUAUGAAACAUCAAACCAACCCACUAGAGAGCGACAACACCUACUAUACAAUUCCUCGAAAGGAGCCAAGUCAAUACUGGACUGGUAGCUAUUGUUAUAUGCAAACUAUUUGAUACAAGUACAACUAGCUCAAGACCAUUCACACGUAGCCAAGCUCAGGAGUUACAAAAACUUCAAGUCAUAUUUAUACAAAUGGCCGUGUAUGAGUAUGUAAUUAAUUCAUCUAGGGGAUUUUAUGUUUUGAAGUAUGAAGAGGGGCUUUGAAGUGUAAGUUUAUUACACUCCAAAAAGUGUAGUAACACCUUUUUUUAAUUACACUCCAAAGCCACACAAGACAAAGGCUAGAAUGGUCAUUUUCCUUUUAUUUUGUGGAGUACUAUAAAUAGACAAUAUUAGGGCUAUUUCUUGAACUUAGUUCAUUAUUGAUAUUUUUACUAUACAAGUCUUGUAAUAUCUGAGAACUUCUCUCUCUUGUUCUUGAGAGUGAACCCAAAACUAGACAACAAAGUGUAGUAACACUUUUGUUGUUCUUUGGCUAGAAACUUGGGGUCUUGAGGGUCAUGAGUUCCUCUUGAUUCAAUUAAGAAUUUGUGUAAAUAUCUUUUAGUCUUAGGGUCCUAAUCUUCAUGUUAGGGUUCUUAGAUUUUAGGAUAUUUUGUGUCAAAUUACUAUCCAUCAUUUUGUAAUCUUGUUGUUUGUAUCUUGAUAUAGUGAAGCCGUGUGGGGCUCUUUCGAUUCACUAUAGUUAUUGCAAUCUUGUGUUAUUUAUCUAUCUUGUUGAAAAUUGUUGUUGUUGACUUGAAAACCUAGAGAAGCCGAAUGGGACCUUUGAUUCUCUAGUGAUGUUGUUCUUGUUAUUCUCUUGAUUCCUUAUUGUGAGUUUGAACUUGUAUCACUCUUAUAAAGCCAAAUGUUGCUCUCACUGGCCACCAAAAUCCAUCACGCAUGUGCAAAGCAUAUUCUAUAAAACAUGGAUAGUCCGCUCUAAUUGGCCAUCAGUCUGGGGGUGAAACGUUGUACUAAGAUCCACCCGAGUACCCAACUCAUCCUGAAAAGUCUUUCAAAAGUGGGAUGUGAACACAUGACCUCGAUCUGAAAUAAUGGACAUCAACACACCAUAAAGAUACACAAUCUCACGAAUGUAGAUACGUGCCAACCUCUUAAUAUUGAAUGAGACCAUCUGACUUGGUCAAUGAUCCAUAAUGACCUACCUAAACAUUGUCAGAACAAUGAGAUGUAUAAGACAAACCAGUCACAAAGUCCAUAGUGAUCCGUUCUCACUUUCACUCGGGUACAUGCAACCUUUAAAGCAAUCUACCAGAUCUCAUAUGCUCGGUCUUUACCUACUGAAAACAUAGGAAAUGAGCCACAAAAUCCUCUAUAUCUCACUUUAUACCAUCCUACUAGUAGUGUUGUCUUAAAUCAUGAUAUAUCUUAGUCACAGCUAUAUGGAUGGAAUAUCUGAAAUAAUAGGUCUCCUCCAAGAACAACCUAAUCCAAUCACCUACUCUCAGCACACAAACUCAGCCCCCAAUCCUGAAAACUCUAUUUGAAUCAAGUGAGGCUUCAUUAGACUCCCCACUCAACACCUUAUCUAGAAUCAACCUCAAUCCAACAUCAUCAAACCAAUGAGCUUGAAUUUGCUCCAUCAAAGAAGAUCUAGCCUCCACAAAUUCCAAAACAUGCCAGGUGUCGAAAUGUCAAACCUAAAUAUCUGGUUAGCUAAAGACCAAACCUCUAAGGCCAUAGGCCUCUCCUAGGUCAAAAGAUGUUCCAAGAUACCAAUGCUAGUUGACUUCCGACUCAAGGCAUCCGCAACCACAUUAGCCUUGCCCGGAUGGUAGAGAACACUUAAGUCAUAGUCCUUAAGUUAAUCAAUCCAAUGAUGCUUCCUCAUAUUAAUAUCUCACUGGGUAAAGAAGUAUUGAAGUCUACGAUGAUCUAAGAAGAUCUUACAACAAACUCCAUACAAAUAUUUCCUCCAUAAUUUCAAGGAAAAUAUGACUUUGCACAACUCCAAAUCAUGGGUAGGAUAAUUCCUAUCAUGAGGCUUCAACUGACGAGAUGCAUAAGAAAACACCUUGCCCUUCUGCAUCAACACAACACCUAACCCAAUACCUGAAGCAUCACAAAAGAUGAUAAAACUUACUCCCUCUCUGGGCAAAGUCAAGAUAGGAGCUAAAGUCAACAAAUCCUUGAGCUUUUGAAAGCUCGCCUCACAAGCAUCAAAUUAUUGAAAAGAAAUCUUCUUCUAGAUCAACUUGGUUAAUAAAGCUACAAUGGAUGAAAAACAUUUAACAAAACGCUGAUAAUGACCUGCUAACCCAAUAAAACUUUGAAUCUCGAUGGCUGAAGUAGGUCUAGCCCAAUCACGAACUACUAUAACCUUGGUUGAAUCAAUCAUAAUAUCUUCCUUAGUCACCAUAUAAACCAAGAAAGAAACAGACUCCAACCAAAACUCGUACUUAGAGAACUUAGCGUACAACUUCUCAUCCCUCAAUCUCUGAAGUGUAAUCCGCAAAUACUCGUCAUGCUCAACCUUACUCUUGGAAUAAACCAAGAUAUCAUCUUUAAAUACAAUAACAAAAGAGUUAAGAUACGAUCAAAACACCUAAUUCAUCAGCUCCAUGAGCACAGCAAGGGCAUUGGUGCCGAAGAACAUGACCAAGAACUCAUAAUGACCAUAUCGAGUCUAAAAUAUUAUCUUUAGAGUAUUCAAAGCUCUAAUCUUUAAUUAGUGAUAACCGAACCUUAAAUCAAUCUUCAAAAAUACCACAACACUCUGAAGCUGAUCAAAAAAAUCAUCAAUGAGAGGAAAAGGAUACUUAUUCUUAACUGUCACCUUAUUCAACUAAUGAUAAUCAAUACACAUUGCAUAGACCCAUUCUUUUAUUUCACAAAUAAGACAGGCGCACCCCAAGGUGAAGCACUAAGUCAAAUAAAUCCCUUAUCUAAUAACUUUUACAAUUGAUCUUUUAAUUUUUUCAACUCUGUUCGGGUCGCCCUAUAAAGAGGAAUAUAAAUGGGCUUGGUUCCCAACUCAAUAUUAAUAGAAAAAUCAAUAUCUUGAUCCGAAUAUUUACUAGGGAAGUCCGUAGGGAACACAUCCAUAAACUCACAAACAACACAUACAGAAUCCAAGGAAGGAGGCAAAACAAAAUUGGUGUCACGAAUAUGAGUCAAGUAAGAUAAACAUCCCCUCUCACCCAAUUUAUGAGCCUGAACAUAAGAUAUAAUCCUCUUAGGAUACGAAUAAAAUUCACCCUUUCAAGCUAUCCCUAGAACACCCAAUGAAGAUAAAGUCAUAGUAUUAGCAAAAUAAUCUAACACAGCAUGAUAAGAAUCCAACUAAUCCAUAUCCAAUAAAAUAUAAAGAUCAAUCAUAUCUAACACAAUCAAGUUUACCAAAGUCUCAGGCCCAGUAAAAGUCACAACACAAAAUUGAUGCACCCAAUCCACCACUAAAGAAUCACCUACCGGGAUAGAUACACGAAUAGGCAUGACAAGAGGCUCACUUACAGAGUCAAAACCCAAAGAAAAAUACACAGACACAUAGGAAAAAGUUGAUCUGGGAUCAAAUAAUACAGAUGCAGGUUUGAAAUAAACGGGGUCGAUACCUAUAAUCUUAAUAUCUAAAGUUUUUGCCUCGGGUUUAUCUGGUAUAGCCUAGCACUAACCACGACCACCAACUGCCUAGGCGGAUUCAUGACCACCAACUACCUGAUUGACCCCACAAUCACCCCCACGAGCUCUACUACCUCUGCCUCUCGUACCUCUGAUAGCACCCUUACCCCUCACAGCUGGAAUAAAAGUAGCUCAAAUAACCCAGCGGGGAUAGUCCCUAGCCACAUGGCCAAUAUCAUCACACACAUAGCAACCUAUACGACUUGUCUCAACAGGAAAAGGUACAACUGGGCCCAAACAGCCACCCUGAACUACUGAACUAGAAGACCCACCACUUGAACUCUAUAAAGCUACCUACACUGGCCUACCAUGGUAUCCAUGAGAACCUUUAAAAUCUCUACCUUGAGAGGUCUGACUCCUUAACUCACUAAAAUAUUGCGCCUUCUUGGCUCUCUGAGAUGCACUAAGAAUACCUUUGAUCAUCUUACCAUGAUCUAAAAUACUCAGGAAAGAAGCCCUACGCACAAUUAUCUGAGAUGCAGCCAACUGAAGGGAGACAUCCAAACCCUUUACAAAUUUCUGAAUCUUCUUAGACUCGGUGAAAAUGCUAUCAUGGGAAUAUCUGGGUAGGGAAUAAAAAUAUUCCUCAUACUCAGCAACUGUCAUGAAACCUUGAUCUAAAUAAUCAAACUCAUCUCACAUACGAUCUCUCAAAUUGAAAGGCACGAAUCUCUCUAGAAAAGCCUCGACCAACUAAUCCUAAGUCAUCUCAGGAGAAUCAUGAGGUCUACAGCUGACAAACGACCUCUAUCAAUCUUUCACUACAUCUUUCUAAAGUGUAUAAGCAACUCUAUGAGACUCGAGCUAUCCCAAAUUAUGCAACUUUUCUCAGCAAUCAAUCAGAAACUCGUAAGCAUCCUCGCCUACUGCGCCAUCAAAUCUAGGAGGACCCAAUCGAUAAACCUCUUCUGAUCCUAGGAAGACAUCGCUGUACUAGCCAAGAGAGGAGGUAUAGUAAAUCUAAUAGGCUGUGAUCCAAUCUAGAGAGGUAUAUAUAUGAUGUCUGGACUGUUGCUAUCAAAACCCUAUAGUCAGAUGUCGAUAUGAAUGUGGAAUAAAACUCGGGGUCUGAGGAGUACCCAAACUAGAAACAGGUGUAACAGCAGGAUCCAUACUCUAAACUGGAGGAAUACCCAGCAUAACUAAAAGAGAACCCUUUAAAUGGGUCAGUAAAUGCACUAACAAUCCCUCUAACGCUGGGGCAGAUGAACUAUAAAGAACUAGAGCAGGACCUAUACCUCCAACCUGCUUAACAUGAGGCUCAAGGGAGAGUCCUAUAGCACUCUUCCUAGAUGGGGCUGAACUAUGGGGGCAUCCCCUCCCCCGAGUCCUUCCACGACUCGAGUCUUGCUUUUUGGGUGAAGGCUCUGCAUCAAAGUCCCGCGGGACCUAGUCAACAAUAUUUGUGCAAAAAGAGUGAAGCCUAAUUCAAAAUACAAGAUAUGAAAGAACUUUGCAUGGUACGGAAUAAAAAUAAGAGAAGUUUCCUAAAGAUAUCCUAAAGCCUCUCAAAGAUAGAUACGACCGUAUACGUAUCGAUCCGCGAGACUCUAUUAAACAUCCCAUUCUUACACCAUUGAGACCAAUGAAACCUAGUUGCUUUGAUACCAAUUUUUUACAACCCUAAAAAUCGACAGGUUAUGAUGUCACUUGUCGCGACAAACCUUUGCAAGUAAGCCUCUCACCCAAACUAAUAUACACAGGGAUAACAUAGAAAUUCCCCUAAGGUAAGGAUUCUGGAAUAAAGCCAAACCACAUAGAUAUAAUAAAAGCAGGAAGAAUAAAAUCAACACAUGCAGCCAAAACUCCCAAAAGUUGGUGUCAGCAGUAUAAGAACUACUAAUACAAUCUCAGAGUUAAAUACAUCAGAAAAAUAACUACAAAGAAAAUAUAUGUCUCCAAACACUAAUAAAGACAUAAAUAAUACAGAAAGAUAGAUGUGAACUCUGAACUUAUGAAUAUCCAACUGCUACCUUGAGAAAUCUGAAGGCGCCUGAAAUCAACUAGUCUGAGGUGCACCCGAACCUAAAACUGCACCAAAAGGGUGAAGUAGGAGUGAGUACGAUCCACAUGUACUCAGUAGGUAUGAUAGGACUAUGGAGCAAAGUAUAAAAUAAAGCAUACAAAAUACACACUUAGAGCAGGUCAUCUGCAAUCUGAAAAUAUCCCACAACGAUAGCCCAUACCGCUUGCACUAAUAGUUCUAAUAUAUCAUAUAUAUUAAAACAAAACACCAAGAUGGAGCAUAAAUAUGCAUUAUUUCACAUAUAAGUAGAAUAAGAGAGAACAUAUAGAUACAAGAUCAUCAAUACAAGUAAAGGAAGGUAAGAAAAAUGCAUAGAUGACAAGUCAAUAUGGCAAUACAAUACAAUAUAAACACAAUAACGUAAAUGCAAUGUAUAUGGUGAUGAUGAUGAUGAUGCACGAGGUCAUUGCACAACCUCUGGGAUUGUCACACAGUUCCCAUUACACCUACGGAGGCAAGCCUCCCAACACAGGACCCAUGAGGGGUUCGUCAACCCGUAUAUAAUCAAUGUAUCUCAUAUAUCCUUCCCCGUAUAUCCCUCAAGGAGGGUUUUAGAAGGUGUUAUAAUAUCUUCUCUCCAAUAUUUCCCUCGGUGAGGGUUUUAUAAAAGGUGUUACCAGUGUUUCUCAGAUGUCACCACUGUGGUAUCAAUGUUUCAUGAAUGAGUAUGAUAUGAGGAUGUAAUGCUCACAUACAAUCAUAAUGAGUAUUUUCACAACCAAUCACAAUGAUAUAUUUCUAUAACCAACUAUAAUUAUACAUUUCCACAACCACAUGAGCCAAUAUUCACUCAUUAUUUCUGUUUAAUCCAUGAAUUUUCAUGUCUCUUAUAACAAGAAGUAUGAAUAUAUCACAAUAUACCAGUGGUACCACCUAAGGCAUUUCAACAACACAAUAUAAUUAUUCACAUAUAUUCAAGGCUGUCAACAUAACAUAGAACCCCACAUGGUCACAUAUAUCACAUAAUAUCUUAAUUUCAACAAUUUCAUUACAUAUAGGCCCCCACACGGGAACAACACAUAGAUAGCGAUUAUCAUAAUUAGUUUUCACCCUUAACAUGCAUUUUGUAUCAUCAUUUACUACCCAGCCCAGCCUAAAAGAGUUAAGCCAUAACCUACCUCAAAAGACAAAACCGAUCCGCUACACUUCGUACCUAUCACGUUACUUUCCAUAAAUGAUCUCAAAAUCCACUAAAAACAUCAAAUAUGGAAUUUAUGCAUCAAAAUAAAAUCAACGACAUGCACAUAGACUAUUUAUUAUUUGGAGUCAAACUGGACUUUCGAAAUAAGCUUUCAAAAAAGAAGGAAAAAAUCAUAACUUUACUUCAAAAACGUGUUUUCCUUAUUUUUAAGAACCUACAAAUGAAAAUCCAAGCCAAAUCAAGUAAAAAAAAUGAGGUUCAAAUUGAAGAAAAACCAUCUUUAAGAUUUAUCGGGUAAAAUCUUUUAAAUUUAAAUUAAAAUCAAGAAUCAGAGUUGCUUUGAAGGUUAAAUUGAUGAAAACUAGUAAUUAAGAGAUUAAAAUAAUAUUCAAGUGAAAAGGAGUGAAAUUGAGAUUUGAGUUCAAGUUCUAAGAUUUUUGAAGUUGAGACACUAAUCAAGAAUUAAAGUAAGAAAGGAUGAAAUUCCACCUUAAAUCCGUAAUAGGAACAAGAAAUAGAUGUUAAUCUAGUUUUUCAAACUCCCACAACUUCAUUUUUAAGCUCUGAUACUAUUUUAGGAUUUAACUCUCAAGAGGCAAGGUGAAAGAAUGGACAAAAAUGGUCCAAAAAAGGGGGUAAAAAGCUGUUAUAUAUUGUAAAUUUUUCUAAUUGCAAAAGAACUACGACGGGGUGUCCGAAAUUCAUUCGGAGUCCGAUAUAUGCAAACAAACUAUGUAACCACACUAAAUCUGAUGCUCCAAACUCAAUGAAGAUAUCAGAUUUUUGAAAAAAAAAAAAAUUUUCACAAAGUUGAUUCUCGAAACUCGAAAUCACAAUUUUCCAAAUUGAGGAUCGAAAUGAGAUUUAAAAGCCGCAAAAUAAACCAAACAUGUUACUACCCUAAAAUUAAAAUUUCAAAUCUGCUGGUGAAGUCAUAUUUUCAUCCAAGGUCGUUUCAACCAAAUAUGGGUCCUACACCCAUAUUUCUAAUUUUUUAACUUUCCGACCAAUCAAUCGAAAUAAGCUCAGAUGCACCUGGACCCAAAUCAAGGAUUUACCUAGCCUAAAAUUAAUAUUUUGAAUCUUUUGAUGUAGUCCGUUCAGCCAUCCAUCGUAUGGAUCAAAAGAUAGCGACAUACACUACAAAAAAAAGGCUCAAUUUAUGGAGGUUAUUUUGUCAAUUUGUGGAGGUUUAUGGCCCCCAUAAAUUGAAUUGCGGCAACUUUAAAAAAUGCCACAAUUAGCCUUGCCCGGAGUAUAUUUACGACGAUUCUAAUAGACCUCCAUGACACUCGCCACAAUAUGACUUUUAAAUUUGUGGAGGUUUUCAAUAUCAAUUUGUGACAAUUUAGAACCUUCACAAUAUGAUCUCAAUAUUUUAAAAAUUAGAUUUGUGUGAGUUUAUAAUUAUCGUGAUGUGAGAUUAAUAUUUGUAUAUUUUGAUUUAUGAAGACUUACAACUGCCACAAAGUAUCAUUUUUCAAAAUAAAAAAAAUAUAAAAUUUGAUUUACAUCAAAUUUUCAAAAUAAUAGGAAUCAAUAAUUUUACUAACUAAUACAUUCAACAUAAAUUAUUCAUCAAACGAAGCCAUAUUAAUUAUAAGCUUCACAAGUCUAAAUUCAUGUUAGAUUGAAGUAAUGCAAACUUAUGUAUAAUAGCUUGAAUAUUACAAUUUUAAAAUUUUAAGAAUCUACAAAGUUCCAGAUCAAAUAAACAUUAAAAAUCUAUGCAUUUCUUUGUUGAUUUAAGUUGUAUACUUGUAGUCAUUCAAUCCUUUGUUUAUGAUGAAGUGAGCUCAAUAUCUACAUUUAACUGAAACAAUGAAAAUUUUAUAAAUGAUUAGAUAAACAUAUAUUAAUGUACAUAUAUUUUUGUACAUUUUGAUAAAAAAAGGUACAACAUUCAUCUCAAACACAAGUUCAUAUAUAACUUCACAAUUGACACGCACACACACACAUAUAAAAGAUUAUAGAUGAAAGAAAAUUACUUUAAUAAUGAUCAAACAUUAAAUAGUGAUUGAAAAAUUGUAUAAUAUUCACAAAAAAUUAUAAAAAAAUUGCAUAUUUCCACAAAGAAUAACUGAUAUCAACUGAUCGAUUGAAAAUAUGGAAAGAACAUAGAUAUUUAAAAAGAGAGUAAAAAGGACAUAAACAUUACUUAAGUUCAAGUGACAAAAAAUUACCUUUAUAUUCACAAAACUAUUAUUUAACAUCCACCCCGUCUUAUUGAACCUGCAAAAAAAUAAAAUAAUUAUCAAAAAUAUCAUAAAAAAACUAAAUUGACCCAAUAUAUGAGAUAAGGAUAAGUGAUAUUUAUCCUGCAUGUGUAGGCAAAAAAAAAAGAGAUGAGACAUGAAAGGUUAGAAAGGAAGGGAGAGGAAUGAGGGAAACAAAGAUGUGGGAUUUGGUACUUGUACGUGGGAAGGGAGUGAGUUAUUAUAAAAGCUUUUAAUUUUUUUUUGAGAAAAAUUUUGAUCUAUAAAAAUUUUUAAUUUCUUUAUUUUUCUUUUAGAGGAAUAGAUAUUAGGAUUUUGAUUGGGUUUGGGUUCAAAUGCAAAAUGUGAAAAAAUUGUUUUGGUGCAUAGAAUAAAAUUUACUAGUAACUAUUAGUUAAAAUAUUUUACCUUAAAAAUAAUUAUUAUAUGAGCAUAAAUAAAGUUAAAAUGCAUAUAAAACAAAUAUAAUGAAUAUUACUAUUGAUUUGGCAUCUAAUUUUUAUUUUAAAAAGUAUAUAUAAGCUUUGAUAGUUAUGAAAUUUAAAUUAUUAUGUGAUGGGGCAACCAAUAUCACCAAUUUGCAAAAAUAUCUAAUACAAAGAAGUAACGUAUAAAAUAUAAGAUUGAAAUGAAAUUGGGUAUACAAAGUAAAAAAUAUAUAUUCAGAGAGUAUCUUAAUAGUUAAGAAAAAUAGAGGAUAAAACAAUGACAAUCCUAUUAAAAUGAAGGAGGAGAAGAGUGCGCAUUUAUUUAUAUAUAAUGAGUUAACUAUCAAUGAUAGUUAAAAUAUACCAUAUAAUUUGAAUAUAAUAAAAUAAAAAACAUAAAAUGGAUAUAAUUUUAAAAGUAACAAAUUUUAAUAAAUUUGUGGUAGUCAUUAUUCGCCAUAAUUUAUAUUGAACCGUGGCAAUUUUCUAACCUCUAUAGUAAAAUUGCCAAAAACAAAAAUUAUACUGUGGAGGCUAGAACAAGACGUCACAAAAUGAAUUAUUAGUGGGAUUUCUUUAAACUUUCACAAAUAAGCUACUACAAAUUGCCAAUCUUUUUGUAGUGAUAAGUUCAAAAUAAGGCUCUCAAAGCCAUUAAAAAUAAUAAUAUCGCAUAAAUAGUAAUAAAAUAUAUCAAAAAUUGUGUCAAUCACCCUCACACCAUAGUGUAAUACCCCGUACCUUUUCCUAGCUUGAAAUCAUCAAAAAAAUGUUAGGAACUUUCUUUAAUACAUAUAUCUUCAUUUCAUGUUAAGUACCCGAAACAUUACUUGUGUGCCUAGAGCCAUGUCAUGUUUUCACUAUACUCUCAGUCAAUCUAUUAAUUCUUAGACUUCAGAUAGUCUUAUGACUCAGGAAAUCUCCAUGAUCUCAUAAACUCAAUCAGUUGUCAGAUAUCAGUAGUAUUUCAUCAUUAACGAAAUUCAUUAACUUAGCCCUUGUUCAGUUCAGUAAAUCAUGUUCAGAGUCUAUUCAUAUGGGAGUGAGAAUUAUCACCGAGUGAACCCACAGAUGGGAACACACACUAUUAUAUGAGGGUGUGAUUCUUAGAAGUCAUCCUUGCGAUCUAGAACUAUGUAGCCAGCAUAGGUUGAGACAUCAACAUUAUUCGAUAAGGGUUGCUGAGGUGGAUAAGCACUGUAAGAUAAGGGCCCUACCAUUAUCUUUUAAGGAUACUAAGUCAGAUGAUGGUCACCCACGGCUUGUACUUACCAGUGGUGCAGUAUUGACACCCUUCAAAUUGGGGUUACAAAUUAGACCCCAACUCAGCUAUAAUGCCAUAUUAGGGGCAUGUCGAUUAGAUAACUACUUUUCAUAGUUUCAUGUUACAGAAUCAGGACUGUUAGACACAUUCAAUCAGUCUCAGUAAUAGAACUCAGAUAGUUCUUUAGAUUUCAGGGUUGUCAGAUACAAUCAACUUAGAUACAAUACGGGACUCAGCUAGUUCUGUUAGAUUCAGGACUGUCAGAUACAGUCACUCACGUUAUCAGUUAUAUCAGUUAUCAGUAUGUCAUUUAUCAGUAUUCAGAUCCAGUAAUCAUGUUAUCACGGUAUCAGUGUCAGUUAUUAUGUCUCAUGCAUGUAUUCUCACGCUCAUGAUAUUCAGUCUGCUAUUGUUAUUGUACAUGCAUAUGAAUGCCAUGCAUCCAGCCUACCUCACAUGCAUACCAAUACAUUCAAAGUAUUAGCGCAUUUGUGCUAUGGUGUAUUAUACCAUAGGUUCAGAGACACGAGCUCCAGAGCAUCAGUAGAUUCCAGUCUCAGCUGUUAGAGUUAGCAGUGAGUCCUCAUCUUUCGAGGACAUGAUCAUUAUUUUUUUAUCUCAUUAAUUAGUUUACUAGUUGGAGUUAGUUGGGGAUAUGUCCCAUCAACUCCUUAUUCAGACAAUCAUAUUUUAGACGCUUAACAAACUACAGUAUGUUCAGAUAAUCUAUUUCAAUUUUGUUUUGGGUAUUUCAUACCCCUCCCAGAUGUUACAUUUUUAUCAGAUACUAUGUCACAGUUUUAAACCUUAUGGACUUUCAGUUCAUGUUUCCGCAUUAUAAAGUAUUUUAUGUAGUAUACAGGUACAAAUAUCAGUCAUGGGUUAGCUUGUGGUCCUUUGGGGUCAUGAGCAUCGUAUAGUGUUCUGGGUAUCAGAUUUAGGGCGUUACACACAGAAAUGCCAUAAUACAAAUAAGGAGAGAGAUAAAAUAGUCACAUCACACAAAAUCACAAAUUUUACAUGUUUCAUGAAAUUUUCAGAUUGUUACACUAACAAAAGGAUAAGAAUAAAUUUCACUAUUCAAGCAAUUAAUGAUUCAUGUAUAUAAUUUUUCUCUACCACUUUUUCUCCUCCUUUGUUUUCUUUUUAAAAUUAUUAUGAAAUUGAACUCAUAUUUUUGAUAAUUAAUUAAUUCUUAUUUUUAUAUUUAUAAUUUACUAAAAAUGAUUGAGAUGUGUGAAAAUUGUGGAACUACACUGAAUACGUUGUAGACGAAAAUUAAAAAGAUUGCAAAAUUGAAUAACUGAAAUCAAAGAUAGGUAAAAUUUAUCGAUGAUCACCUAACACUGAGUCAAUCACACAAAAUAUUGGUUUCAGUUCUUUUACCAUAAAAUUCAUUUAGAUUUAAAAUUAAUAUACAAAAGUUAUUUUUCUAUUUUAUGACAUAAAAGUAUCCCAUUUUUAAAGUUUAGUACACAAAAUUAUUUUGUUUAUUUUUUCAAAAGGUCUUUACAAAAUUUACUAUACAAAUAUAUAUUAGUGCAGAAAAUAGUCAAAGCACAUUUUCUUCAGUAUUAAUAAUAUCAAAUUAAAACUAUUAUAUAAAGAAAUCAAGCUAAGGAACGCAAGUAUAUCUUAAGGAAUUAUUACUUUUUAUAUAAUAAGUUAGUCUUACAAUUUGAUAAAAAAAACAAAAGAAAAAGAAUGAGCUAGAAAAUCAAGGGAACCAAAAAUAGUGAAUUGAGGAGAAAGAGGGGGCUUUGAGCUAAAAGUGACAAAAGAGUUUGAAAAUGAGGUGUAGGUGACACAAGUUUUAAUAACUGAAUGUAUGUGACAAUUACUUUAUUAUUGAUUAAGAAAGUUGGGUAAGUUUGAGAAUAUCCCACAAGUUUUUUGAAAUUUACACUUUAAUCCAAAUAUUUACCUAAUAUAAUGAAAAAUGGAGGAAAAAAAGGUGUUUCUCUCUAUUCUCAUCCAUUGUUGUUUUUUCUCUCUUAGCGAUUUUUGUUGUUUAUUGUUGCUGCUUCUUUAUUCAUCAUCUUCCGCUUCUUCAUUUUCAUCAUCUUCAUCUUCUUCUUGUUGACCAUUAUUAUUGUUGUUGUUACCGCUACUGUUGCUAUUUGACCAAUUUUUUUGGGUCAAAUUUUAUUUCGUACAUCACUUUCCACUUUGGCAUUAUUUCACAGGAGACUUUGGUAAGUCAAAUUAUGAUUUUUAGUUGAAUUUGUCAUCUGGGUAACUGCUAUUGUGCUGCUUUUUCAGCAAUAGAUAGCACGCGAACAUGAAUGCAACAUAAGAGCCAUCUGUUUAAACAGAUAUAUUUCAACGAAAGACUCAUAUAUUGGAUUCAUGUUUAUGGUUCUAUAGUGACAUAACAUGAAUCGAACAGAUGGUUCAUCUGUUGCAACAUAUGACCCAUCUAUUGCAAAAGAUUAGUUAUCUGGUGCAACAUGAUAAAUAUCUGUUACAACAGAUUAGUAACCUGUUGAAACAGAACCUGAACUCAAUUUCAACAAACGUAUCGUCGGUUGCAAUAGGGUAAAUAUCUAUUGCAAUAGAUUAGUAACCUGUUGUAACAGAGCCUGAACUCAAUUCUAAUAGAUGGUAAAUAUUUGUCGCAAUAUAUUAGUUACCUGUUGCGAUAAAACCUGACCUUGAUUCCAACAGACGAAUCGUCUGUUGCAAUAGGUAAGUCAUUUAUCGCAAUAGGUUAAUUAUCUAUUGUAACAUGUCACUCAUCUAUUGAAUUAGCUUCAAAGGUGCCUUAGUACUGUAACAUCUAUUCCAACAGGAGCUUCAUCUAUUGUAAUAGAUAUAUAGUCUAUUACAACAUAUGAUUCACCUGUUACAACAGAUGACUCGUAUGUUCAAAUCUGCUUUUGGAGCAUAACAUGCAUCCCAACAGGUAAGUAAUCUGUUACGACUGAUCACUUACUUGUUGCAAUAGAUUACACAUAUAUUGGGAUUCAUAUACGACACUAUGAAAUCACCAUUAACCAUUUUUUACCAAAUGACUUUAUUUAGGUACCACUAAUGAAGGAAUCAAUAAAAAUAGGGGUGGAUUGUCACGAUCAAUGGAUUGAGAAGAGCAAUCGAUAUGUAUGGCAUUGGAAGGAGGGUAAAAUGCUAGAGACGAUAGCUAUGACAGUCCAAUGUGAUGUUUUGUAUGAUGAUUUUGUGUACUUAAUCAUAAGUUAUUAUGGACUGAAUUAUCAAUCAGAAGAACUCAUCAUCAGCUACAUGCACAGCUCCUUUGAAAAUCAGACGGUACUACCUUUCAGUAUAACCGAUCAGGUUCGAUUGCGUGCUUAUCUUAAUGAUUCAUCCAGGCUGGUAUUAAGGGUGUACGUGGUUGAAAAGAUGAGAGAGAAUGAGAACUAGAACAUAGAAGAAGAAUAACAAUAAGACAUCUUUGAUGAUAGGUUAGAUGAUCUAGACAUGAAUAUUCCAGAUGAUGAUCAAACACCUAUGCCUGUUGAUACGACCAAUAUGGUAGGCAGUUCAUCUCGAUCGACACAAUCUGGCAAUCUUCAAGAUGACAGAACCGGCUUUUUCAAUGGAAUGUCAUUCAAGGACAAGAAAGAAAUAUCUACCACUUUGUUUAUUUCUUGCUUGAAAAAAGAUUUUAGGAUAAAGAAGGUGAUUAAUUCAAGCAGUGUAUUUAGCUACAAAUGUGCUAAUCCGAACAGAAAAUGGUGGUUGCGAGCGGUGAAGUACAUAAGUUUUGACAGAUUCGUCAUUCAUAAACAUGAAAAGUAUCAUACAUAUGGUUCGAAUCAUAUCUUGGGCGAAAAUCCUCAUGCCACAACAAAGGUCCUCGGUGAAUAUUUCAAGAGUAGUUUCCCCGACGACAAAGGCCCUUCUACAAGGGUUAUGGCCAAUCAACUCCUUACGAAAUAGGGUGUCUUGGUCAGUUAUUGGAAGAUAUAUAUGGAUAUAGGGAUUUCCAAGGACUUGGUUAGGGAUACACGCGAGCAUGGGUAUGCAGUCUUGGAUGCCUACCGUUACAUGAUUGAGUCCAGCAAUCCUGAAAGUAAGAAGAUAUUGCAUGUUGAUGAAAACGGAAGGUUCAAGUACUUUUUUGUAUUCUAUAAUUCUUGGAUUCAAGGUUUUUGACAUUUGAGAAAAGGCAUAGCCAUCGACGAUACCUUCUUGAGGAGCAGGUAUAAUGGAGUUCUGCUAGCGGCGGUGGUGCAGGAUACGGAGAAUCACAUCUUUCUUGUCAUUUUUUAUGUAGCGGAUAAGAAAUGUGAUGCCUAUUAUGGAUUUUUUUAUCAACUGCAAAGCUGCAUCGAAGAUACUAAAGUGUUGUGUUUUGUUUCGGAUAGGCAUCCAGGUAUUCUAAAGAUGGGUUCAAUUUUCUUCACUUCAGCUUACUUUGGUUGUUGCAUCAGGCAUCUUGGAGAGAGCAUUUGAACCAACGAUUAUAACAAAAGGGUUGUGACCCUUUUUUAUAGAGCAAAUAAAGCAUAUAGUAGAGAGGAGUUUUUAUACCAUUUCAAUCAAAUAGCGGAUGUGCAUCCCAAAGUAGCAGAACAUCUCGUACAUGUCGGUUUCAAGAGAUGGAGUCGGGCAUUCUGUCUGAGAUAGGUUCAUUCUUAUGAAUUUAAUGUCUUGAUUGAGUUACAAGUUUAAUAUGAUGUCGUACUACGUGAUUCUUUUGUAUAGGUACAAUAUUAUGACAUCAAACAUAGAUGAAUCGGUGAAUUCAUUGUUUGGCGAUGAAAGAGAAUUUUCCUUCAUGGCUCUGUUUAAAAUAAUAAAUAAGUAAUAUGGCUAAUUUUUUAAUGAAAGGCGUGUGCAGUUUGAGGGCCCAAGAAAAACCCCAUUUUUUCUAGAAGUCAAAAAAAUAAUAUCAACAAACAUCAGUUUGGGGAAUAGGUUAUUAUCUCAUCAAAUAGCAGAUUACAAAUUCAGUAUCACCGAUCAUGGUGAUGUUGCCACGACUGAUUUUCAAACAAGAUCUUGUACGUGCAGAGUUUUGACUUGGACAAAAUACCCUGUCCACAUGUUAUGGUAGUUUUUUGAGCUCAAUACGGUCCAAAAUAUGGACCUAAAAUUUAUGAGCACUCCUUUCAAUAUUAUUCGGUGGAAAAAUAUAAAAUGGCAUAUAGUGGACAUAUUACUCCAGUGCCUCCUAAAGAAUCUUGGGUUGUUCCUGCAAAGCUUUUUGGGUGAUUAAUACCUUCUCCAUAUAUUGACCCAAGCACUAUCAAAUCUGAAAUAAAGCCAUAUAAGAGGAGGUGUGGAGUUAGUGAAUCGUUUUCAUCAAGAAGAAAUAAGUGCUCUGUAUGUAAGUGCGCUGGCUACAAAAGAACUACAUGCCCGAAUCGUAAUCCACCAUGAUCGUUGUAAUUGCAAAAACUUGUGUUGUUUGUUGUGGACUUUUAUAUAUUUAACUCAUUGUUGUGUACGUAAUGUUAUCAUUUAUUAUAUAGAAAGUAUCUUUUUUAAUAACUUGUGCAUCAAUAACAAGAGGCAAAACAUGAAAUAAUUAAUACAGCAGGCCACAAUUAUUUUCAACAGAUUACCCAUCUGUGGUAGUAGAUAAACAUUAGCUGAAAAAACACAACAUAGUUCCAUCAAACUUGAAUAUUUUCCUCCAACAGAUGGAUAAUCUACUGACAAAAACCCAACUGAUCUGUUCCAAUAGAUGGUCCAUCUGUUGAAAGAACUCAAAUGCCAAAACUGUUAUUGCUACUAAAUUCAAAAUUGCUACUUACCUCCAACAUUUGACAUGUUAACAUGUUUAGAAGAAGGAAUAGACAGAAUAAAAAUUAACUAAGAACUAAAAAUAUAAAGUCGACCAAUAAUAAAUUUUCCAUUAAAUAAAAAAUAAAACACAUUAGGUAUGAAAAAAGCGGCAAAACAUGAAUUAAAUAAUACAGCAUACCACAAUUAUUUUCAGCACAUUACCCAUCUGUGGCAACAGAUUGACAUUAAAUGGAAGAACACAUAAUUCCAUCAAACUAAAACAUUUUCCUCCAACAGAUGGAUAAUCUGUUGACAGAAACCCAAUCGAUCUAUUCCAACAGAUGGUCCAUCUGUUGAAAGAACUUAAAUGUCAAAAUUGUUAUUGCUACUAGAUUCAAAAUUACUCCUUAAGGCUCCAACAGUCGACAUGUUAACAUGUUUGGAAGAAGAAAAAGACAGAAUAAAAAUUAAAUAAGAAUUAAAAAGCCAAACUCGUCUAACAAUAAAUUUUCCAUUAAACAAAAACCAAAAUUUAUUAGGUAUAGAUCCGAUAUAAGAUUAAAAAAAAACACAUUCUAUCUAUUAUUAUUAUCAGCAACAACAUUAUUAUUGCCAGCAGGCCAAUCUUCAACCGGCAGAAGCAAAUCCCUCCUAAGCUUACAAAUCUCCACGAUCAUCCGAGCUCUCAUGGUGGACAAAUCCCACCGCAUUUCAUGAACCUGCGACUCAAGUUCUGGGAUAGUGUCUUGUAGAAUUGUAACAUCUCAAUUUGUAUCUGCCAUAUCUAGAACACACAUGAAUUGACAUAAAAAAGCAAACACAAAAGUAAAGAAAAGAGUCUGAAUAUAAUACAAUGUAUACAACAAACUGGUAGAUUUACACAGAAAAAAACUUACCUCAACGAGAAAGGAAUAUGCUCUUUGAAGAGAAGUGGCUGAAGAUGUAAACCGAAAAGACAAAAUGCAAAAAACAAAUAAAAGUAGAGGGACCUAUUUAUAGAGGAUUUAAUCUGAAUGUGUUAGGUAAAAAGAAAUAACUGUUCAGGUCCAUUGUAUUAGUUAGAUUCAUACUGCUUCCUUUUUGUUUUCUAUGAAAAGAUGCGACUUUUUCUUUUACGUACAAACUUCUCACCUUUUCAAAAUGGUUUGAGACUUAAUAACAACUGUUAUUAAUUGAGCUGUUACAAUAGAUCAAUUAGGAAAAAAGGCGUAACUAUUCAGGUCCAUUGUAUUAAUUACAUUCAAACUGCUGGUUUUGUGUUUUCUGUGGAAAGACGUUACUUUUUAUUUUACAUUAAAACUUCUCACCUUUUCAAAAUGGUUUGAUACUUGAUAAUAUCCAUUAUUAUUGAACUGUUGCAAUAGAUCUACAUGAUCUCAUGAACUCAGUCAGUUGUCAGAUAUCAGUAGUAUUUCAUCAUUAAUGAAAUUCAUUAACUCAGCCCUUGUUCAGUUCAGUAAAUCAUGUUCAAAGUCUAUUCAUAUGGGAGUAAGAAUUAGCACCAAGUGAACCCAUGAAUGGGAACACACACUAUCAUAUGAGGGUAUGAUUCUUAUAAGUCAUCCUUGUAUUCCAGAACUAUGUAGCCAGCAUAGGUUAAGAUAUCAAUAUUGUUCGAUGAGGGUUUAUGAGGUGGAUAAGAAUUGUAAGAUACGGGCCCUACCAUUCUCUUUUGGGGACACUAAGUCAGAUGAGGGUCACCCACGGCUUGUCCUUAUCAGUGGUGCAGUAUUGACACCCUUUAAAUUGGGGUUACAGAUUAGACCCCAACUCAGCUAUAAUGGCAUAUUAGGGGCAUGUCGAUUAGAUAACUACUUUCCACAGUUUUAUGUUACAAAAUUAGGACUGUCAGACACAGUCAAUCAGUCUUAGUAAUAAAACUCAGAUAGUUUUUCAGAUUUCAGGAUUGUCAGGUACAAUCAACUUAGAUACAAUACGGGACUCAGCUAGUUCCAUUAGAUUCAGGACUGUCAGAUACAGACUCUCAUGUUAUCAGUUAUAUCAGUUAUCAGUAUGUCAUUUAUCAGUAUUCAGAUCCAGUAAUCAUGUUAUCACGGUAUCAGUGUCAGUUAUUAUGUCUCAUGCAUGUAUCUCACGCUCAUGAUAGUCAGUCUGCUAUUGUUAUUAUUCAUGCAUAUGAACCCCAUGCAUCCAGCCUACCUCACAUGCAUACCAGUAUAUUAAAAGCAUUGGCGCAGUUGCGCUAUGGUGUCUUAUACCAUAGGUUCAGAGACACGAGCUCCAGAGCAUCAGUAGAUUCUAGUCUCAGCUGUCAGAGUUAGCAGUGAGUCCUCAUCUUUCGAGGACAUGAUCAUUAUUUUAUUAUCUCAGUAAUUAGUUUACUAGUUGGAGUUAGUUGGGGAUAUGUAUCAUCAACUAGUUAUUCAGACAAUCAUAUUUUAAAGGCUUAACAAACUACAGUAUGUUCAGAUAAUCUAUUUCAGUUUUGUUUUGGGUAUUUCAUACCCCUCCCAGAUGUUACAUUUUUAUAAGAUACUAUGUCACAGUUUUGAACCUUAUGGCCUUUUAGUUCAUGUUUCCGCAUUAUAAAGUAUUUUAUGCAGUAUACAGGUACAAAUAUCAGUCAUGGGUUAGCUUGUGGUCCUUCGGGGUCAUGAGCAUCGUGUAGCGUUCUGGGUAUCAGAUUUAGGGCGUUACACACAUAAAUACCAUAAUACAAAUAAGGAGAGAGAUAAAAUAGUCACAUCACACAAAAUCACAAAUUUUACAUGUUUCAUGAAAUUUUCAGAUCGUUACACUAACAAAAGGAUAAGAAUAAAUUUCACCUUUCAAGCAAUUAAUGAUUCAUGUAUAUAAUUUUUCUCUACCACUUUUUCUCCUCCUUUGUUUUCUUUUUGAAAUUAUUAUGAAAUUGAACUCAUAUUUUUGAUAAUUAAUUAAUUCUUAUUUUUAUAUUCAUAAUUUACUAAAAAUGAUUGAGAUAUGUGAAAAUUGUGGAACUACACUGAAUACGUUGUAGACGAAAAUUAAAAAGAUUGAAAAAUUGAAUAACUGAAAUCGAAGAUAGGUAAAAUUUAUCGAUGAUCACCUAAUACUGAGUCAAUCACACAAAAUAUUGGUUUCAGUUCUUUUACCAUAAAAUUCAUUUAGAUUUAAAAUUAAUAUACAAAAGUUAUUUUUCUAUUUUAUGACAUAAAAGUAUCCAAUUUUUAAAAUUUAGCACACAAAAUUAUUUUGUUUAUUUUUUCAAAAGGUAUUUACAAAAUUUACUAUACAAAUAUAUAUUAGUGCAGAAAAUAGUCAAAGCACAUUUUCUUCAGUAUUAAUAAUAUGAAAUUAAAACUAUUAUAUAAAGAAAUCAAGCUAAGGAACGCAAGUAUACUAUUGUACACUUCCAACAAGUUAUGUGUUAAGAAGUAAAACAUUAGAGAUGUUUCUAAUAUCAUUCUAAAUGUUAUAAAUUUAUUUGAACCUCUGUCAUAUUUUCAAUAUGACAUCGAAAUUUUGAUGAAAUUUUCUUUUUAGUUUCCUAGAUCGAAGUUGAAUGACUUUUAACCAACAAAAAAUUAAGAUACAAAUUACUUUUAUGUUACAAAAUUUUUUAUUUGGAUGACUUAAUAUAUAUAUAUAUAUAUAAAAUUAGUUAGUCUUACAAUUUGAUAAAAACAAAAGAAAAAGAAUGAGCUAGAAAAUCAAGGGAAACAAAAAUAGUGAAUUGAGGAGAAAGAGGGGGCUUUGGGCUAAAAGUGACAAAAGAGUUUGAAAAUGAGGUGUAGGUGACACAAGUCUUAAUAAUUGAGUGUAUGUGACAAUUACUUUAUUAUGGAUUAAGAAAGUUGGGUAAGUUUGAGAAUAUCCCACAAGUUUUUUUAAAUUUACACUAUAAUCCAAAUAUUUACCUAAUAUAAUGAAAAAUGGAGGAAAAAAGGGUGUUUCUCUCUCUUCUCAUCUAUUGUUGUUUUUUUCUCUUAGUGAUUUUUGUUGUUUAUUGUUGCUUCUUCUUUAUUCGUAAUCUUCUGCUUCUUCAUUUUCAUCAUCUUCAUUUUCUUCUUGUUGACCAUUAUUGUUGUUGUUGUUACCGCUACUGUUGCUAUUUGACCAAUUUUUUAGGUCAAAUUUUAUUUUGUACAUCACUUUCCACUUUGGCAUUAUUUCAUAGGAGACUUUGGUAAGUCAAAUUAUGAUUUUUAGUUGAAUUUGUCAUCUGGGUAACUGCUACUGUGCUACUUUUACAACAAUAGAUAGCACGCGAACAUGAAUGCAACAUAAGAGCCAUCUGUUUAAACAUAUAUGUUUCAACGAAAGACUCAUAUAUUGGAUUCAUGUUUAUGGUUCUAUAGUGACGUAACAUGAAUCGAACAGAUGGUUCAUCUGUUGCAACAUAUGACCCAUCUGUUGUAAAAGAUUAGUUAUCUGGUGCAAUAUGAUAAAUAUCUGUUACAACAAAUUAGUAACCUGUUGAAAUAGAACCUGAACUCAAUUUCAACAAACGUAUCGUCUGUUGCAAUAGGGUAAAUAUCUAUUGCAACAGAUUAGUAACCUGUUGCAACAGGUCCUGAACUCGAUUCGAAUAGAUGGUAAAUAUUUGUUGCAAUAUAUUAGUAACCUGUUGCGAUAAAACCUGACCUUCAUUCUAACAGACAAAUCAUCUGUUGCAACAGGUAAGUCAUUUAUCGCAAUAGGUUAAUUAUCUAUUGUAUCAUGUCACUCAUCUAUUGAAAUUAGCUUCAAAGGUGCCUUAGUACUGAACAUCUAUCCCAACAGGAGCUUCAUCUGUUGCAAUAGAUAUAUAGUCUAUUACAACAUAUGAUUCACCUGUUACAACAGAUGACUCGUAUGUUCAAAUCUGCUUCAGGAGCAUAACAUGCAUCCUAAUGGGUAAGUAAUCUUUUGCGACUGAUCACUUACAUGUUGCAACAGAUUACACAUAUAUUGGGAUUCAUAUACGACACUAUGAAAUCACCAUUAACCUUUUUUAACAAAUGACUUUAUUUAGGUACCACUAAUGAAGGGAUCAAUAAAAAUAGGGGUGUAUUGUCACAAUCAAUGGAUUGAGAAGAGCAAUCGAUAUGUAUGGCAUUGGAAGAAGGGUAAAAUGCUAGAGACGAUAGCUAUGACAGUCCAAUGUGAUGUUUUGUAUGAUGAUUUUGUGUACUUAAUCAUAAGUUAUUGUGGACUGAAUUGUCAAUCAGAAGAACUCGUCAUCAGCUACAUGCAUAACUCUUUUGAAAAUCAGAGAGUACAACCUUUCAAUAUAACCGACCAGGUUCGAUUGCGUGCUUAUUUUAGUGAUUCAUCCAGGCUGGUAUUAAGGGUGUACGUGGUUGAAAAGACGAGAAAGAAUGAGAACUAGGACAUAGAAGAAGAAUAACAAUAAGACAUCUUUGAUGAUAGGUUGGAUGAUCUAGACAUGAAUAUUCCAGAUGAUGAUCAAAUACCUAUGCCCGUUGAUGCGACCAAUACGGUAGGCAGUUCUUCUCGAUCGAUACAAUCUGGCAAUCUUCAAGACGACAGAACCGUCUUUUUCAAUGGAAUGUCAUUCAAGGACAAGAAAGAACUAUCUACCACUUUGUUUAUUUCUUGCUUGAAAAAAGAUUUCAGAAUAAAGAAGGUGAUUAAUUCAAGCAGUGUAUUUAGCUAUAAAUGUGCUAAUCCGAACUGCAAAUGGUGGUUGAGAGCGGUGAAGUACAUAAGUUUUGACAGAUUCGUCAUUCAUAAAAAUGAAAAGUAUCAUACAUAUGGUUCAGAUCACAUCUCAGGCCAAAAUCCUCAUGCCAUAGCAAAGGUCCUCGGUGAAUAUUUUAUGAGUAGUUUCCCCGACAGCAAAGGCCCUUCUACAAGGGUUAUAGCCAAUCAUAUCCUUAUGGAAUAGGGUGUCUUGGUCAGUUAUUGGAAGAUAUAUAUGGCUAUGGGGAUUGUCAAGGACUUGGUUAGGGAUACACACGAGCAUAGGUAUGCAGUCUUAGAUUCCUACCGUUACAUGAUUGAGUCCACAAAUCCCAAAAGUAAGACGACAUUGCAUGUUGAUGAAAACGGAAGGUUCAAGUACUUUUUUGUAUCCUAUGGUUCUUGGAUGACAGUUGAGAAAAGGCAUAGCCAUCGACGAUACCUUCUUGAGGAGCAGGUAUAAUGGAGUUCUGCUAGCAGCGGUGGUGCAGGAUACGGAGAAUCACAUCUUUCUUGUCAUUUUUUAUGUAGCGGAUAAGAAAUGUGAUGCCUCUUAUGGAUUUUUUUAUCAACUGCAAAGCUGCAUCGAAGAUAACGAUGUGUUGUGUUUUGUUUCGGAUAGGCAUCCAAGUAUUCUAAAGAUGGGUUCAAUUUUCUUCACUUCAGCUUACUUUAGUUGUUGCAUCAGGCAUCUUGGAGAGAACAUUCGAACCAACUAUCAUAACAAAAGGGUUGUGACCCUUUUUUAUAGAGCAACUAAAGCAUAUAGUAGAGAGGAGUUUUUAUACCAUUUCAAUCAAAUAGCGGAUGUGCAUCCCAAAGUAGCAGAACAUCUCGUACAUGUCGGUUUCAAGAGAUAGAGUCGGGCAUUCUGUCUAGUAGAUAGGUUCAUUCUUAUGAAUGUAAUGUCUUGAUUGAGUUACAAGUUUAAUAUGAUUUCGUACUACAUGAUUCUUUUGUAUAGGUACAAUAUUAUGACAUCAAACAUAGAUGAAUCGGUGAAUUCAUUGUUUGGCGAUGAAAGAGAAUUUUACUUCAUAGCUCUGUUUAAAAUAAUAAAUAAGUAAUAUGGCUAAUUUUUUAAUGAAAGGCGUGUGCAGUUUGAUGGCCCAAGAAAAACCCCAUUUUUUCUAGAAAUCAAAAAAAUAAUAUCAACGAACAUCAGUUUGGGGAAUAGGUUAUUAUCUCAUCAAAUAGCAAAUUACAAAUUCAGUAUCACCGAUUAUGGUGAUGUUACCACGGCUAUUUUUCAAACAAGAUCUUGUACGUGCAGAGUUUUUGACUUAGACAAAAUACCCUGUCCACAUGUUAUGGUAGUUCUUUGAGCUCAAUACGGUCCAAAAUAUGGACCUAAAAUUUAUGAGCACUCCUCUCAAUAUUAUUCGGUGAAAAAAUAUAAAAUGGCAUAUAGUGGACAUAUUACUCCGGUGCCUCCCAAAGAAUCUUGGGUUGUUCCUGCAGAGCUUUUUGGGAGAUUAAUACCUUCUCCAUAUAUUGACCCAAGAACUAUAAAAUCCAAAAUAAAGCCAUAUAAGAGGAGGUAUGGAGUUAGUGAGCCGUUUUCAUCAAGAAGAAAUAAGUGCUCUGUAUAUAAGUGUGCUGGCUACAAAAGAACUACAUGCCCGAAUCGUAAUCCACCAUGAUCAUUGUAAUUGCAAAAGCUUGUGUUGUUUGUUGUGGACUUUUAUAUAUUUAACUCAUUGUUGUGUACGUAAUGUUAUCAUUUAUUAUAUAGAAAGUAUCUUUUUUAAUAACUUGUGCACCAAUAACAAGAGGCAAAACAUGAACCAAAUAAUAUAGAAGGCCACAAUUAUUUUCAACAGAUUACCCAUUUAUGGUAACAGAUAGACAUUAGCUGGAAAACCACAACACAGUUCCAUCAAACUAGAAUGUUUUCCUCCAACAAAUGGAUAAUCUACUGAUAAAAACUCAACUGAUCUGUUCUAAUAGAUAGUCCAUCUGUAGAAAGAACUCAAAUACCAAAACUAUUAUUGCUACUGAAUUCAAAAUUGCUACUUACCUCCAACAUUCGAUAUGUUAACAUGUUUAGAAGAAGGAAUAGACAGAAUGAAAAUUAAAUAAGAACUAAAAAUAUAAAGUCGACCAAUAAUAAAUUUUCCAUUAAAUAAAAAAUAAAACACAUUAGGUAUGGAAAAAGAGGCAAAACAUGAAUUAAAUAAUACAGUAUACAAUAAUUAUUUUCAGUAGAUUACCCAUCUGUGGCAACAGAUUGACAUUAAAUGGAUUAACACAACACAAUUCCAUCAUACUUGAAUAUUUUUCUCCAACAGAUGGAUAAUCUGCUGACAGAAACCCAAUCGAUCUAUUCCAACAGAUGGUCUAUAUGUUGAAAAAACUUAAAUGUCAAAAUUUUUAUUGCUACUAGAUUCAAAAUUACUCGUUAAGACUCCAACAGUCGACAUGUUAACAUGUUUAGAAGAAGAAAAAGACAGAAUAAAAAUUAAAUAAGAAUUAAAAAGCCAAACUCAUCUAAUAAUAAAUUUUCCAUUAAACAAAAACAGAAAUUUAUUAGGUAUAGAUCCGAUAUAGAAUUAAAAAAAACAUAUUCUAACUAUUAUUAUUAUCUGCAACAACAUUAUUAUUGCCAGCAGACCAAUCUUCAACCGGCAGAAGCAAAUCCCUCCUAAGCUUGCAAAUCUCCACAAUCAUCCGAGCUCUCAUGGCAGAUAACUCCCACCGCAUGUCAUGAACCUACGACUCAAGUUCUGGGAUAGUGUCUUGUAGAAUUGCAACGUCUCAAUUUGUAUCUGCCAUAUCUAGAACACACAUGAAUUGACAUAAAAAAGUAAACACAAAAGUAAAGAAAAGAGUCUGAAUAUAAUACAAUGUAUACAAUAAACUGGUAGAUUUACACAGAAAAAAACUUACCUCAACGAGAAAGGAAUAUGCUCUUUGAAGAGAAGUGGCCGAAGAUGUAAUCCGAAAAGACAAAAUGCAAGAAACAAAUAAAAGUAGAGGGACCUAUUCAUAGAGGAUUGAAUAUGAAUGUGUUAGGUAAAAAGGCAUGACUGUUCAGGUCCAUUGUAUUUGUUAGAUUCAUACUGCUGCCUUUUUAUUUUCUAUGAAAAGAUGUGACUUUUUCUUUUACAUACAAACUUCUCACCUUUUCAAAAUGGUUUGAGACUUAAUAACAACUGUUAUUAAUUGAGCUAUUGCAAUAGAUCAAUUAGGCAAAAAGGCAUGACUAUUUAGGUCCAUUGUAUUAAUUAUAUUCAAACUGCUGGCUUUUUGUUUUCUGUGGAAAGACGUGACUUUUUAUUUUACAUUAAAACUUCUCACCUUUUCAAAAUGGUUUGAGACUUGAUAACAUCCAUUAUUAUUGAGCUAUUGCAAUAGAUCAUCCAUCUGUUGCAAUAGAUUUACUAUCUGUUGUAAUAAAUGGUCUGUAUGUACAACAGAUGGUCUGUCAAAAUUGAUUUACCAUCUAUUGCAACAGAUGAUUUAUAUGUGCAAUAGAUGAGACAUCUAUUGCAACAUAUGUAUUAUCUGUUAUAACAGAUGGACCAUCUGUUGGAGGAGAUAUUUUGAUUUCUUCUAAUAGUUGAUUCAUCAGGUGCAACAGAUGGAGAAUUUGAUUCAUCAGUUGUUUUGAAUAUGUUAUAUAAAAAGUCAUGACUCAUUACCUCUUUUUUAAUAGUCAUCACAUACGUGCAGAUGAAUAACCACUGUCCGUUCUAUCACAACAGAUUUACCAUCUAUUGUAACAUCUGUAUUAUCUAUUGCGACAGAUGGACUAUCUGUUGGAGAAGAUAUUUUAUUUUCUUCUAACACCUAAUUCGUUAGUUGAAAUAGAUGGAGAAAUAAAUUUAUCAGAUGACUUUUCGCCUCUUUUUAAUAGUCAUCACAAACAUGCAGAUGAAUAAACAUUGUCUGGUUUAUCAUAAUAUAUUUACCAUCUGGUACGACAGAUGGACCAUCUGUUAGAAGAGAUGUUUUGAUUUCUUCUAACAACUGAUUCAUCAGUUGCAAUAGAUGGAGAAUUUGACUCAUCAGUUGUUUUGAAUGUGUUAGAUAAAAAUUCACGACUCCACCUCUUUUUUAAUAGUCAUCACAUGCGUGCAGAUGAAUAAACACUAUCUGAUAUGUCUUGAUGGGGUAGGAAGAAUAAAAUGCGUGUAGAUAAAUGGAUCCACUUUCAUGCAUGCGAGUUAUGUAUUAUUGAUCAAGAUACCAUGACAGACAUAUAUAAAGUACAUGAUUUUUUAAUGCAAUGUUUUACCGAUUAGACAUUUAUCCUUCAAACAAGAUCCUGCAUUGUACAAUUUAGUUUGAUAGGUAUGAACUGAUAAGGAUGAAUGGUUCCGAGAUGGUGGUGUCAAUACCCUAUUAUAAUUUAAUGAUAGUUUAUGCUCAUGUUUUGGUGUCAAGUUUGGGGAAGCAUUUAAGUUUUUGGCGACAGUGUAAAUAUCCAAUAGUGAUUGGAUUGAUUUUAACGGUGCAAUGAACUUCUUAAAAUGACUCCAAAGCCUCGCACUGCAGCAAACAAUGAUGAAACCAAUAGAAAUUACCUUGGUCUAAAUUUAUAUGAAUGUGUUGCUCGAGGCUACUAUUAUAUAGCAGAAGGUGCUUGGGAGAAUAUCUAUGUGGAAAGAGGGAGAUGGAGAAGACCAUAUAUCAUCUCAGACCCUAUUUAAGAGAAAACAUAAGGAAGCAAGUAAGGAACAUCUAGUGAAUCUGGACAAUGAACUUGACAUGAGAAAUGAAAAAACUGAAUGAGCUUCAAAUGUGGAAGUGUAUCCUAAUAUAAAAAUCCAUCAGUUAUUGAAGAACAAGAAGAAUGGUCAAAAGGACUGGAGCUGGUCACUUUGCUAGAGACUGCAACUAGUGAGAGUGGCCUCAAUGAAGACUCACAAAGUGCAAGACUAGAAUUCUAAGGAAGCAGUUUUGCGAGCAUAGGAUAUUGGUAAGAUUUUUAGUCAAGAAUGAAACCUGAACCAACAACUGUAGAAUUAAAAAUAAGGAAAGCCAAGGCGUCAAAUUCUGAAUUCUAACUCGAAUCCUAUGCCUUCUGUUUCUGGCUAUGAUAAGGUCAAUGGUAGUAGAAAUAAAAAGGUUUGAAGUUGGGCAGAAAUUCCAUACCUUGUUAUUUCCACUGCCUUUGACCUAACCAUAGCCAUAAAAAAGAGGCAUGGGAUGCAAGUUUAACUUGAGAAAUUGCCACCUUGGCUUGAUCCCUUAUUUUUAAUUUAGGAGUAGUUGGUUCAAGUUUUAAUCCUGACCGAUAAUAUUACCACCUUUCGUGCUUGCGAAGCUGAAACUUUAGAGGUCUGGUCCUGCAUUUUAUGGGUCUUCAUUCAGGCCACGCUAUCUAGUUUCAGUUCUUGAAUAAAGUGGACAUCUCUAGUCCACUUGAGCAUUUUUCUUUUUCAAGAACGAUUGAUGGAUUUUAAUUUUUGGAUAAACUUUCACAUUCGCAACUCGUUCAAUUUUUUUAUUUUUCAUGUCAGUUUCACCAGCCUGUUUCGCUACAUUUUUCUUCUUACCUUGUGUUUCUUCUUUAAUAAGGUCUGAACUGAUAUAUGGUCUUCUCCACCUCUCUUUUCCCACACAGGCAUUCUUACAAUAAACUUCUAUUAUAUAAUAGUCUCCUCGAGCAACCCAUCCAUAUAAAUUUGGACCAAAGCAAUAAUUAUAUUUAUUUUCAUUCUUAUUUGCAGUAGUGCGAGGCUUUGGAGGCCUUUUAAAAGUCCAUUGAACCCUUAAAGUCAGUGCAGUCACUAUUUGAAUGUUUACACUAUCAUAAAAAACCUUAACCCUUCUCCAAACUUGACACAUAAAUUAGCAAAAUCUUCAUUAAAUCAUAAUAGGGUACCAACACCAUCUACUUGGUCCCUCAUUCUUACCAGUUAGAACCUAACAAUCUUAACUGUAAAAUGACAUAUCUUGUUUGAAGUAUUAAUGCCUAAUAGGUAAAGAACCAACAUUCACAAAAUUAUUAUACUGGAUGUGUGUUUUCACGAUAGGUUGAUCAAUAAUACAUACCUCCCACGUAUAAAGUGGUUCCAUCUGCAAGCAGUUUAUUCCUCUGAACCCAUCUAUACUCUAGCCUUUAAUGCUGGUUAGAUAAAAGUUUAUCUAGUUACACUUUAUUUUAUCUGCAAACAAGAGAAAUGCAUUUGAUGACAAAUAAAAGAAGAACAAAAAGAGGAUUACAAAAGGGUAACACAAAAUUGAAUGGAUCAAAAGAUGACCAAUCUGAUGGAACAGAUUCCCCAUAUGUUCAAUCGAUUAGGUAUUUGUUGCAAAAAAUGGAUGACAUAUUGCAACAAAUGGGUCAUCUGUUGGAAUAAAUCAACCAAGCCUUGCUACUAGUUUGAUUUCUUCAAACAGUUGCUCCGUCUGUUCUAAUCGUUGAUUCAUCAGUUGCAACAGUUGAGGAAAUUAUUACAACACCACCAACAACAGC